rnacentral:lncRNA from 1 species
AUUGGAUGCACUAUUGAUGCAAGAACUGAUCCAGAUGCAUACUGGAAAAGUGUUAUUAAUGCUGAGGCAAUUCCAGAGGCAAUUCAGAGCCUUAUAAACAAGGGUUAUUUAGUAUCUCCUUUCUCCAUCAAGAAAGCUAGCAAUGCUGAAGAGAAGCAUUUGACCAGAGCCCAUGAAUCAGAAAAUUUACGCUUUCUCCCCUACGCUGACCACAAGGAUAAACCAGCCCAUGAAUCAGAAAAUUUACGCUUUCUCCCAUACGCUGACCACAAUGAUAAACCAGCCCAUGAAUCAGAAAAUUUACGCUUUCUCCCCUACGCUGACCACAAUGAUAAAUCAGCCCAUGAAUCAGAAAAUUUACGCGUUCUCCCCUACGCUGAUCACAAUGACAAACCAGCCCAUGAAUCAGAAAAUUUACGUUUUCUCCCCUACGCUGACCACAAGGACAAACCAACCCAUGAAUCAGAAAAUUUACACUUUCUCCCCUACGCUGACCACAAGGACAAACCAGCCCAUGAAUCAGAAAAUUUACGUUUUCUCCCCUACGCUGACCACAAGGACAAACCAGCCCAUGAAUCAGAAAAUUUACGCUUUAUUCCCUACGCUGAUCAUAAGGAUAAACCAGCCCAUAAAUCAGAAAAUUUACUCUUUAUUCCCUACGCUGAAAAUUAGUUGAAAAAUAACGUUCAACUAAAGACCUUGAAUGAUCAGAAAGGCUUAUUGUCUAAGCAUAUAUAUUCCAUGUGUGAUGAAUCUAGUUUGAAUGCAGGCGAGUCAUUGGAGGCCAGAUGCUACAAAAUAAUAACGACUAGCGUGGUACAAUUAGGCCUAUGGUUGUGAUUGUUAUCUAAAUUAAAAGUGAUUUGUGUCUGUAAUGUGUCUUAAUAUGUAUUUUGUGAUUGUGAUGAUAAAAACUAUCAGUUUGUUGUUUCUUUACCUAGAGGCUAGAUGAUUAGCCAAUUUACGUGCAUAAUUAUUUAGAAAUAAUUAGUCUGUUAUUCUUUGGGACUAACAACAGUAAAAUAGACCUACAAAGGAGAAAGGGUGUUUAAACACAUGAACUUGGGUCAAUUAUCACGUAGUAGUUUGUGAAAUUGGGUCAAUUAUCACGUAGUAAUAAUAUGAACUUACAUAUUAUUACUUCCUUUUGGAAAUGAUAAUCCACAUGCAGUAAUACCAUAUGAAUGGGUAAAAUCUCUUGCACCCUAAUAGGUUAUCUGAACCUCUUAGUUUUUUAUGAAAUCCAGCCCUGCACGUUGAAAAAUAUGACAGUAAGUAAAUUUUUAUACGAUUAACCAGUUCACAACUUAAUGAAAACAAAGAAGAGAUAUGCGGAUAGUAGCGACAAAGAAAAGAAUAAAAAAAAUAGGAGUCUCUCUCUCUCUCUCUAUAUAUACAUAUACAUAUACAUAUACAUAUACAUAUACAUAUAUAUAUAUAUAUAUAUAUAUAUAUGAGUUAUAUGUAUGGUUAUAUAUAUAUACACAGCUGUGUAGCAUAUAUAUACAUAUAACCCAUAUAUAUAUAUAUAUAUAUAUAUAUAUAUAUAUAUAUAUAUAUUAUAUAUGAUAGGGAGUAGUGAUGUUUUAUGGCUUACACUUAGACCGCGUUUAUGAGUUUAGAGAGAUGGGAAAGAGAAAUGAUGAGAAUGAAUUAUAAUUUUUCUUUAUCAUAUCUGUGAAUUUUAAAAAGAGAAAAAAUAAAUGAAAUUUUAAUUAUAUUUUUUUUUUAUUUGCGAGUUUAAAUUAUAUCACGUGAAUAUUAAUGGUUAAAAAAGUAUAAACUAAUCAAACUUCAAAUUAAUAUGAGAUUUAUAAAACUUCAAUUCUACCUAUCCUGCCCUUCUUUUUCAGACGUGUCAAUGUUAAAACUUUAAUAUCACCAUCAACAAGAAGGGCAGAUACAGCUAGAGAUUACACAAUUAUUCUUUUUAUUAUCACAACCGUACCUUUAAUCAAUCAAUAGAAAAGAUAGAUUACCUUUUCAAGCAAAGAAUCAUCUUAGUACUUUGUAAGCAGGUGAUGUUGAAACAAAAACACACCCCACUAUCACUAUUACAAAUGAAGUUUUCUUUUAUUUUCCAUAUUUAGAGAAAUUAAUUACUCCUUUAUAUUUACAUAAAUAAUAUUCACAAAUAAUUUCAUUCUAAUCCAAACUUGAUGAUAAUUAAAUCUCUAAAAUAUAAAAUAAGAUAUAAUUUCUAACAUAUAUAUAUAUAUAUAUAUACACAAUGGAUCCUGUCCGGACUCCCGGACAGGNNNNNNNNNNNNNNNNNNNNNNNNNNNNNNNNNNNNNNNNNNNNNNNNNNNNNNNNNNNNNNNNNNNNNNNNNNNNNNNNNNNNNNNNNNNNNNNNNNNNACAAAUAUCAAAAUCUGAAUUUUUAAAUAAUUGAUGGAGAAUUAGACUUAUGAUUUCACCCUAAGUUUCACUUUGAUUUCAACACCUUUAUCCCAAUUUAACGCACUAUCCCAGUUUAUUAAUCAAGAACACGAACGCAGUAUUAACCACCUCUCGAUGCACUAAUACCAUAUUAACCUCAAUCCACAAUUAAGAUAGAAAUCCGUUAAACACCUUAAUCAACUAACCCACUAUAUUUCUAUGUGAAUUACAAUUGAAGAAGGUUGAAGAAUAAGUUCUCUAUCUGAUUACAUGCGAUGUCAAGCAUAUCUCUACCUUAACACUCAUCAAGUUUAAGCUACUAACAAAAUUCUGAACACAUUCUAUAUUAACUAGGUCUAGAUUUGAAUAUCCUCUCUCGAUUCUAUCCAACUCCACCAAGAAUUGUUGAUCAGACAAUUCAUAGAUUCAAGCACAAAUUAAUAUAGAUAAACUGGAGAUUUCUUAUUAAAUUGGGAAUCAAAGCUUACAAAAUCAUCGAUUCACUUAAGGAUCCAUCACAAGCCUAAAAAGUGAAUUAGUUCAUAAUAAACGAAAUAAACGCUGAAUAAAUCAUAGAAAUCAUUCUUCCAAUUACAAAUAAUAAUCUAACACAAAGAAUAUUAGAAAACACCCUUCACGUAGACUAAAGUUGCAAUCGUCUUGAAAAACUCCUCGAAGUACUCCUCCACACUUGCUCUCAAAAAUCGAACUUAGAUCUUUUUUUUCUCACUAACUGAUAUCUCAAUUGUGUUUAAUAGAGUAGUAUAUAUCUAGCAUAACACUCUAGCCGCAUUCUCUAUCCAAUAGAGUUAUAAUGCCAUGCAAAUGUCUAAAGUUCGUGCCAAAUAGGAAUUCUAACCAUAACAGGACACUCAAAAUUUUUCACCCCCCGCCCCGGCGGGGGUUUAUAUGCUAUGGACGCCCGCCCCGACGAGCUUGCCUCCUGUCUUGAUCGAAUGAAGACCCCCCGCCCCGGCGGGGGUGUGUAGUUAUAUAACGCCGCCCCAGCGGGUUUGUGUUCUGUUAAAUGGCUAUGCUGCUCUGCUAAGUUGAUUCCAAUUUUGCUCCAUUAGAAUCCCAAUUGCACUGAAUAUCACCAGUUAUACAUUGAAUGCCACAACCACCAAUCUACACAUGAAAUAAUAUAAAACAAGUAACCUUGAACAUGAUCACAAGAAUUAAGCAACAAAUAAGCAUGAAUUGGAUAUUAAUUUGCGUAUAUAAAAUACACUUAUCAAAAUCCCCCAAACUUAAAUCGUGCUAGUCCUCGAGCACAAGGCCACUAUAUGCAAUGCAAUGAUAUGAAUACGAAUUUACUUAUAUGCUAUCAAAUCCAACAAUAUCGCAUAAUCAAAAUUAUCUUAACGGCCUCAGCGAAAACAAGCAACUAUACAAUAUCAACUAUCAAAAACCAAUCUACAAAUCACUUUAAUCCUCGAAUCUCAAGCUAUCAUCACUGGUAUAGUGUGUGUGUGUGUGUAACAUCCAUGACAACUGAUACCGACUCAAAUUCAAUACAUAACCAGUCUCUUAGAAGGAAUCAUGCAUCAUAAACUUCAAAACUUCAAAAAUAGCUAGUUCCAACUAAAAAUCAAGUAAUCACAAAUCGCCAGGGUUCACGCGGGGUACUUAUGCUUUAUUUUCAUCUACGGGGGCUUUUUGCUCUUAUUUCCCGUCUUCUUCAUAUAUUUUUUUAUCACAUAGCUGUGCAAUGUCUUAUUCCCUUAAGCUUUUCAAUGCUACCUUAACGAGCUUUCGACCAACGACUCCCAGACCAUUACGACCUUAGGGUGCUAGGUGUAAAGACAAUCCCCUCGGGCUUACUUGCUCAAGUAACAAAGGCCACAAAACUAGACAAGCACGCUACGGUGUUUAUUCAUACUCAUUUUUUUUCUUUUUCUUUUUUUUAUAAGCUUAUAUACCCCACAUAACCUCCCCCAAACUUAGGUUCUUGCCUAAUUUUAGCCUUUACCAGCCAUCCUUGUCAUUUCUUCAUUCACUCUAGCAUUAUCCUUUAGAGACCAUUUAGGUACCGAUUUGAACUUAACCAAUUAACACAGAUGUUUGUUAAACGUGCUAUCCUUUUAUACCAGUUUCAAACAAACUCAAGAUUCGAUUCAUAAACGAUCAUUGCGUCAUAGUUCUAAUACUCAAUACCGUAUUUGCUACUUAUUUGACAUUCACAUCAUAGGCCCAGAAUAACAUGAAUCACAACAUUGAAGGACUUAAACAACACAAUAAUUACUAAUUAAAAACCAAUUUUUUUUUUAGCCUUAUGAAUUACAAAAUACGGAUAACAAAAUGCAUUACACUAUUAUCUACUAUACAAAACCUAAACUACCAUGAAUGCCCUAUGCUAUCAUGCAAUACUGAAACUAAAAUGCAAUACAGAAAUUUAAUUUCCUAAAAUUAAAAAUGAGUCCUAAAAACUAAAAUGCAUGCAAACAUGAAUGUAAAUCCCCCAAACUUAAACAAUAUAAUGUCCUCAUUGGAUAAAUGCUCAAAAUAAGUAUGUGAGGACUUCCCUGUCAAUGCUUAAGCUUGUGGAGGUGGUUGUUGUUUUUCUUUAUCGGAAUCACUCGGUGGGAAACUUGGCAUUGGACCGGGCUGUUGAUAUGGAAAUUAUGCUGCCGGGUUGAAACUUUGAAGUGUUGUGGUCAAAGAGGCAAAAGAGGUAUGCAUAGCUUCGAACAUGUGCUCUUGCCUCAUUGCUAAUCGGCACAUUUCCCGACGAGUUGCCUUGGUGUGUACAUUCAGUUGAUUUUGGAGAUCAAGGAAUUGAGAUCUGGAUAUAGCCUCGGUCCUCGGUACCUGCUCAUCCCCUUGAUCUCCCAUGUCCUCGUCGUCGUCCCCUGAUGUCUCUGUAGCAUCCACAUUGUCUUCCGAAGAUAAUGGGAAAAUGAAGCCCAAUCCCCGCGGAUGUGACUCGCCUCCUGCCCAUACAGAAUAUUGCGCAAUCAUUCUGGAAUCUAACAGCGCGAGCGGCAUUUGAGUGGGCUCGUCAUCCGACCAUCUAACUCUUGCUUGACGACACAACCCAAAUAUGAGUGAUGGAUGUUGCAAGCCUUCAACCCCAUGCAAGCACCGGCGGAUAGAGAAGCAGAUGAUAGCUCCGACGUCAAUAAUAAAAUCUUGCAAAAUGGCAUACAAAAGCAACUCCUUCUCCUUCGUGACGUCUGAAGUGUGUUGGGACGGAAGCAAUUUCGCGCAGAGGAAGGCAUACCAAAUUUUGCCAUACCGGCUAAGGUUCUUGCUAUGGAACACGGUACCUCCCUUGUGACCCUUCAUCCAUGACGUUCCCGGCUUUGUCAUCUCCGUGAUAAUAGCAUCAAAAUCUGGAUCAGAAGUACGGAGAUGCUCGUACUGGUAGUGGCGAGGCACUCUCAGUUAGUAGUAUGUAUUGAUGGCGUCCGCACUAAAUGGAACCAACCGUCCUCGUACAAAUGCUUGAAAUGGUUCUUUGUCCAUCGCAUUUGCGUAAAACUCCUUGACAAUGUUGACAACUGCUGGUUUCGGCUCCUCGGUGAAUUUUACCCAACCCUUUUGGUAAAUUUGCAGCAUGAGUUCCCCAUCAUUAGGAUCCGGUGCCAACCCCCGCUCCGGUGUAAGGGUUUUGGUGAGCAUGUAAUCAUACCGAUCGGCGGCGGUGGCACUCGCAAAUUUUCGAUGAUCGAAGGUGCGGAUAGGUUGGGAUGGUUGUGAACUCUCCUCCCGUUGGCGUUUAGAUGAUGGUGAUGAAGCCAUUUCUCCUUAUUGCUGGUUGUGCCCUAACUCUCCCCCCAACUGUUUCAAUAAUCUCUCUCUAGCUCACAACUUUUCUUUCUAUAUGCUUUUUGUGAAGUAAGGUGUAGGAGUUUGGAAGAGUUGUGGUUUUAUUUAUAGAUAGAGAGGAGAGGCUAGCAUUGGUGGAGUGAGGAGGUGGGAAGGUGGAGAAGAGUAAUUGAAUAUUGGGAAUGUGGGGAAAGUGGGUGGUGGGUAUGGAGUAGUGGGGAAGUGUAAAAGUGGGAGUUAUUGGGAAGGAGAGAAGACCAACAAAACUUCCACGUCUAUAAACAUUCCUGGACCCUCGCCCCUGCGGGGUGUAAUGAGCUGAAUAGGCCCGCCCCGGUGGGCAUAGUCCCUGACUUCUGAUGUUAAGUACCCCCGCCCCGGCGGGGGUUAUACUGCUUUUAGGGCUCGCCCCGGCGGGCAUAGUCACUGUCUAGCUUUCAUGUUUUGCUUCAAUUUAUCACACUUUGCUUCCAUAUACUUGCUUGAUGUUCCUUUUCUCAACCUGCAUGACAUGAAACAUGAAAAUUAGUGAGUCAUUGAUGUCAUGUUAUGUUGUGGAGAGAUUAACGAGAUUUUAUUUUAUUCUUCUACCAAAUAACUUACUAAAACUUGUGAUUACGCCAAUAUGAAUGAAAAAUACGAUAAAAGAACUAAAAAUUGGGUUGCCUCCCAAUGAGCGCUUGAUUUUAAGUCGUUUAGCUUGACUACUUCCUGUUUAAGUUGUGUCGGCCAACGUGAUGGCGAUCACGUCGGUGUUGGCUUCUCCACCCCAGUAAUGCUUCAACCGGUGUCCGUUGACUUUGAAUGUUUCGAGAGGAUUGCGACUGUAAAUUUCAACGGCCCCAUGAGGGAAUACUUGCUUGACUAUGAAUGGUCCCGACCAUCUUGAUUUAAGCUUUUCGGGGAACAACCGAAGCCUUGAGUUGAAUAACAGUACUGAUUCGCCUGGCUCGAAUGUUCGACGCAAAAUUUUCUGGUCGUGCCAUCUUUUGACUUUUUCUUUGUAUAUUUUGGCAUUCUCAUAGGCAUGAAGGAGAAACUCGUCGAGUUCAUUCAACUGAAGUAAUCUCUUCUCUCCUACAUCUUUUUGAUCAAAAUUUAGUUUUUUUACUGCCCAAUAUGCCUUAUGUUGUAGUUCCACCGGUAAAUGGCAUGCUUUCCCGUACAAUAGUUGAUAUGGUGACAUCCCGAUUGACGUCUUGUAUGCAGUUCGGUAGGCCUAUAGAGCAUCGUCCAAUCUAAGUGACCAAUCUUUCUGACUCGGAUUCACCACUUUCUCCAAUAUCUUUUUGACUUCUCUAUUUGAUACCUCAGCCUGGCCACUGGUUUGAGGGUGAUAUGCUGUAGCUAUCUUGUGGUUUACCCCAUAUUUGGUCAACAGAGUAGUAAAUGGUUUAUUGCAAAAGUGACUACCUUCGUCACUUAUAAUUGCUCUUGGUGUGCCAAACCUCGUGAAGAUGUUCUUUUGAAGGAAUUUGAGGACCACCUUGGCAUCGUUUGUUGGUAGAGCUGCAGCUUCAACCCACUUUGACACGUAGUCCACUGCGAGGAGAAUGUAUUGAUUGUUCAUGGACGAUGGAAAUGGUCCCAUGAAAUCAAUACCCCAUACGUAAAAAAUUUCCACUUCCAAAAUUGUUUGUAAAGGCAUCUCAUUACGUUUCGAAAUGUUCCCCACUCUUUGACACCUAUCGCAUUGUUUGACAAACUGGUGGGCAUCUUUGAAUAAUGUGGGCCAAUAAAAACCACAUUGUAGCACCUUCGCUGCUGUUCUCUCACUCCCAUAAUGCCUGCCAUACACCGAUGAGUGACACUCGUGCAGAAUAUUCUUUACUUCUCUAUAUGGGAUGCACCGUCGAAUCACCUUGUCAGCGCACUGCUUGAACAAAUAUGGAUCAUCCCACAUGUACCAUUUCACGCCGUGAAGAAAUUUAUUUUUCUGUUGCCUUGUGAGGUCAGGCGGUAGAAUGUUGCUCAUAACGAAAUUUGCAUAGUCGCCAUACCACGGAAUAUUCGCUGAAAUCUCAAACAGUUGCUCAUCCGGGAACGAUUCAUUGAUUUCACAUUUGUUGUAUUUUUCUGUCCCGUGGUUUCCAACCUCGACAAGUGAUCAGCUACUUGGUUCUCCGUUCCCUUCUUAUCCUUUAUUUCUAAAUCGAAUUCUUGCAGUAGGAGAAUCCACCGGAUAAGGCGUGGCUUAACAUCCUUUUUCGCUAUCAAGUACCGAAUCGCUGCAUGGUCUGUAUAGACUAUCACCUUAGUUCCGAUCAAAUAAGCCCGAAAUUUGUCGAACGCAUAUAUUAUGGCAAACAACUCCUUCUCUGUGGUUGUAUAGUUCAUUUGAGUUUCUGUAAGUGUUUUGCUUGCGUAGUAUAUAGCGUGAAACACCUUGUCUCUAUGCUGACCCAAAACAGCCCCAACCGCGAAGUCGCUUGCAUCACACAUAAGCUCAAAGGGCAUGCUCUAAUCCGGUGCAACUAUAACGGGGGCUGUAGUUAAUUUCCUCUUUAACAAUUCAAACGCUGUCUUGCAUUCUUCAUCAAAGCUGAACGUCACAUCCUUCUCUAAAAGACUGCAUAGAGGUUUCACAAUUUUUGAGAAGUCCUUUAUAAACCUCCUGUAGAACCCAGCGUGUCCCAAGAAACUCCUAAUACCCUUCACUGAGGUUGGUGGAGGUAAUUUUUUAAUAGUUUCCAGCUUUGCCUUGUCAACUUCCAAUCCUUGAGCUGAUACCUUAUGGCCCAAAACGAUGCCCUCUUCCACCAUGAAGUGGCAUUUUUCCCAAUUUAGAACAAGAUUCGUGCCCUUGCAUCUUUGCAAUACCAAGACUAGAUUCUUCAAGCAAUUAUCAAAGCUGUCCCAAUAAAUCGAAAAGUCAUCCAUGAAGACCUCAACAUUUUUCUCCACCAUAUCUAAAAAAAUUGCCAUCAUACACCGUUGGAAAGUUGCUGGUGCAUUGCAUAACCCGAAUGACAUCCUCCUGAAUGCAAAUGUGCCGUAUGGGCACGUGAAUGUGGUCUUUUCUUGAUCCUCCGGAGCGAUGACUAUUUGGUUGUACCCCGAAUACCCAUCUAACAAACAGUAAUAUUGGUGUCCCGCCAAUCUAUCUAAAAUUUGGUCAAUAAAGGGCAGCGGGAAAUAGUCUUUUUGGGUUGCCUUAUUCAAUUUUCUGUAAUCCAUGCAAACCCGCCAACCUGUCACUGUUCUAGUUGGGAUCAACUCGUUAUCGUCAUUUUGCACCACCGUCAUUCCUCCUUUUUUUGGUAUGCACUGGACUGGACUAACCCAUUUGCUGUCGAAAAUUGGGUAGAUGAUACCGGCAUCUAACCAUUUCAAUACUUCCUUCUUUACCACUUCCUUCAUAAUUGGAUUAAGCCGUCGCUGUUGUUCUACUAUUGGUUUUGCCUCAUCUUCCAUCAAAAUUUUGUGCAUACAAAAUGAAGGGCUGAUUCCCUUUAUGUCGACAAUUGUCCAUCCAAUGGCUGAUUUAUUUUCCCGAAGCACCCUCAACAACUUUUCGUCCUGCAAUUCGUUAAGUGCAGCUGAAAUAAUAACAGGUAGAGAAUUUAAAUUGCCUAAAUAUGCAUACCUGAGGUGCUUAGGAAGUGGCUUAAGUUCCAUCUUUGGAGGCUCUUCCAAUGAUGGUUUCAAUUUUUUUGCAGUUACCUCUUCCGUGUGUAGUGGUUCAAAUGGUGUUCUAAACCUUGGUGCUCGUGGCAAUGUAUCUAGCAAUUGAAGGUAGUCCACUAAUUCCGGAUCAUCUAUCUCUUCAUCUCCCAAUAAUGUCGUUUCUAAUGGAUCCAUCACCAAACUUUGCUCAUGUCAUCACUUAUUAUUUGCUCAACUAGAUCCAUUUUAAAACAUUCUUCCUCAUCCGUAGGGAACUUCAUUGCCUUAAACACGUUGAAUUUCACUUCUUGAUCUUGGACCCUCAUCGUGAGUUCUCCCUUUUGAACAUCUAUGAGAGUUCUCCCUGUAGCCAAAAAUGGUCUCCCUAGGAUAAUUGGGAUGUUCUUGUCCUCCUCAAAAUCCAGAAUGAUGAAGUCCACGGGGAAUAUGAAUUUGUCCACUUUCAUUAAGAUGUCCUCUACUAUGCCUCUUGGAUACGUGACUGACCUAUCUGCCAACUUUAAGGAGAUGUUCAUAGGCCUUGGUGCGGGCAACCCCAAUUCUAAAUAUAUUGACAACGACAUGAGGUUUACACUCGCCCCCAAAUCACAUAGACACUUGUUGAAAUGCAUCUCACCGAUCGUGCAUGGAAUAGUAAAGCUCCCCGGGUCCUUGAGUUUUGGUGGUAAUUUCUGCUGUAAUACCGCACUACACUCCUCUGUUAAUGCCACCGUCUCAAAAUCUUCCCAUUUCUUUUUCCUUGAUAGAAUCCCAUUCAUAAAUUUUGCGUAACUCGACAUUUGUUCGAGGGCCUCUACAAAUGGUAUAUUAAUUUGAAGUUUCUUAAAAACUUCCCAAAAAUUUUGAAAAUUGCUUGUCUAACUUUUGUUUUUGAACUCUUUGCUGGAAUGGUGGGGGAGGAUACGCAGCUGGUUCGCUAACUGGUUUGUUCACUUCCAUUUGUUUUUCAUUCCCUUGCUUUACCUCACCCACUGAAUUUUCUAUCUCUGGUUCAUUCUCCUUUGUAAUCGAAAUUUCUGGCUCUUGACCCACAAGCUAUUUUCCACUUCUCAACAUAAUGGCUUGACACUGCUCGUGAUUACCCUUAGGAUUUUUCUCGGUAUCACUUGGUAAUGUUCCUUGUGGUUUAAUAUUCAACGACAAUGCAAUCUGACCCAUCUAAUUCUCUAAAUUCUUGAUCGACAUCGCUUGUGCUUUCAUUAUCAAGUUGUAAUUGUUUAAAGCCAACUCGAUGCUAAGCCUAAAUUUUUCCCACUUUUCCUCAUCAAAGUGUGAUUGACCUGGUUGUUGAUGGUUCUUAAAACCUGGAGGAUGUGCUUGUUGUGGAGCUUGAUUUUGCUGGUUGUUGCUCCAUGAGAAAUUCGGAUGAUUCCUAUUUCCUUGAUUAUAUGUGUUCUGAUAGGUGUUUUGAGGAAUUCUGUUGUAAUUGUCAAUGAACUGCACAACUGCUGGAUUAAUUGCACAUUGCUCCGUUGGGUGUUCUCCUGCGCACAACUCACACACUAUUGUCACUUGCAGUGCUUGCUGUGUUUGCUGUGUUUGUGCUGCUGCCACCGACUACAACUUCUUUGAAAUUGCAGAUAUAUGUGCUUGUAUUGAUGUCAUAUUAACUACUUCUAAUACUCCAGCUACCUUUGCUUGUGUCAUUCUUGAUGUGGGCCACUGGUAGUUAUUAGCCGCCAUGGUUUCAAUCAACUCGUAAGCUUCCUCGUAACUCUUAGCCAUGAAUGCUCUGCCCGAUGCUGCAUCGAUACUUGUCCUGAUAUUCCCAUGUAGUCUGUUGUAAAAGGUGUUCAUUUGUAGCCACUGGGACAAUCCAUGAUGUGGGCAUUUUCUGAGCAGUUCUUUGUACCUUUCCUAAGCCUCAUAUAAUGACUCCCCAUGUUGCUGUUCAAACAUUGUAAAUCUCGUUCCUCAUCUUUGCAGUUUUCACCGGCGGAAAGAAUUUUGCAAGGAAUUUCUGAGCUAAAUCCUCCCAUGUAGUUAUCGAACCGGAUGGUAGAGAAUGCAACCAACUCUUCGCCUUGUCCCGUAAAGAGAAUGGAAACAAUCGAAGUCUCACCGCCUCAUCUGAAACCCCAUUAAACCUAAAAGUGUCACACAUUUCUAGAAAACUGACUAGGUUCUCGUUUGGAUCAUCAUUUGCCAAUCCCCCAAACUGAACUGAAUUUUGAAUCAUUUGUAUCAUCCCAGGUUUAAUUUCGAAUGUGUUCGCUGCUAUUGCUGGUCUCGUGAUACUUGAAUGCAGUUUCGUUACCUUGGGCAUUGCGAAGUCCCUCAACGCUUUCCGAUCUUCGGCUGCCAUUACUAUUUCCUCUUCCUUUUCAGGUGUUUCAAAUUCUUGCCUCGUUUCUUUGAUCCACUUACUCAACCUCUGAAACCUUUUCUCAAUGUCGUCCUCAAAAGGAAGCAAGUUUGGAUUUUGGGACCGGGUUUACAUAAACUAUGUCCAACACCUGAAAUAAAAAGCACAAGACAAAAAUAAAAAUGUCUAAGUAAAACUGGAUUAAUUAAACUGAUAUUGUUAAAAAAAUAUUAAGAAUUAUACAAAAUAUUCCCCGGCAACGGCGCCAAAAACUUGUUGGGUAAAUUCUAUAUACGCACAACACGCAAGUAUACGUGGUCAACAAGUAAUAAAAUGAUGAGUAGAGUAUCGUUCCCACAGAGAUUAAUUAGCAAAAUACCUUAACUUACAAUUACCAAUCUUCUAUUAACCCUAAUUUUAUUAAACAAAUCAAAUUCGAUGAUUUAAAUUAACGAAACUAAAAUUAAGAAUAAUUAAACUAACAUAAAACAAUCAUAAAUAUCAAAAUCUGAAUUUUUAAACAAUUGAUGGAGAAUUAGACUUAUGAUUUCACCCUAAGUUUCACUUUGAUUUCAACACCUUUAUCCCAAUUUAACGCACUAUCCCAGUUUAUUAAUCAAGAACACGAAUGCAGUAUUAACCACCUUUCGAUGCACUAAUACCAUAUUAACCUCAAUCCACAAUUAAGAUAGAAAUCCGUUAAAACGCCUUAAUCAACUAACCCACUACAUCUCUAUGUGAAUUACAAUUGAAGAAGGUUGAAGAAUAAGUUCUCUAUCUGAUUACAUGCGGUGUCAAGCAUAUCUCUACCUUAACACUCAUCAAGUUUAAGCUACUAACAAAAUCCUGAACACAUGCUAUAUUAACUAGGUCUAGAUUUGAAUAUCCUCUCUCGAUUCCAUCCAACUCCACCAAGAAUUGUUGAUCAGGAAAUUCAUAGAUUCAAGCACAAAUUAAUAUAGAUAAACUGGAGAUAGCUUAUUAAAUUGGGAAUCAAAGCUUACAAAAUCAUCGAUUCACUUAAGGAUCCAUCACAAGCCUAAAAAGUGAAUUAGUUCAUAAUAAACGAAAUAAACGCUGAAUAAAUCAUAGAAAUCAUUCUUCCAAUUACAAAUAAUAAUCUAACACAAAGAAUAUUAGAAAACACCCUUCACGUAGACUAAAGUUGCAAUCGUCUUGAAAAACUCCUCGAAGCACUCCUCCACACUUGCUCUCAAAAACUGAACUUAGAUUAUUUUUUUCUCACUAACUGAUAUCUCAAUUGUGUUAAAGGAUUUGUGUGUUUUAUGUUUUGAAUGUGUUCUAUGUCAUGAGGACUAGGAUCUGAAACUGGAAUCAGGGUCGGAUCAAGUCUAGAUCGUCGUUUAUACUCGGUCAAACCGCGUUGACCGUUCACGGGAAGCCAGUUCUGGGCAACCCAGAAUUUACCAGGUUAUCUGACAAGUUCUUUUAAGCCUUUGAUCUUACGUCUGUUAAGUGUGUUAGCCAUGUUGGUGUUAGAUCUUAAUUAUAUGACAUGAGAUCUACAUAUAAAAGCCCUUAUACCCAUUAGAUCAUGAUCAGGAUCGAAAAUAAUAGUGGUCAAACUACGUUGACCGAUCAGCUUGAAGAACAAUCUAGAAAAACCUAGAUUCUUCAAAGCCCGUUUUCUCAGACAACGUUUGACCGGCCUGAAACUAGUGAUUGUUUUGUUAAUAUACUGGUGUAAUCAAGCUCAGGGUGAAAGAUAUGAUGAUCUAAAGUAGCCUAUCUGAACUGUUCUUCAUUUCUGGGUAACCCAGAAAUGAAGAACAGCUCCUGACAAGAUCUUUGAAGAGUGAUAACUCUCUGGGAUGUUGUUGUAUAGACAUGAAAUUAGUUGUAGGUUGUAGUAUUACAUUCAUACUACUAUAUUAACACCAUAAGCGACCCAUAAUCCAUCACGAACACUGCUUAAAUUCUGGUCAAACCACCCAUCCUCUCAACUGACAUGAAGUUCUGGGUAGGAUGAAGAACCCGUGAAGAACACCAACAGCGACGAAUUCGUCGCUAAAAACCCCUUUAGCGACACUUAUUUUUGAAAAAUAAUUAGUUUAAUUAAAUAAAUCGAAUUAAAUGGUUUUUAAUUAUUAAAAAUACUAAAUAAAUUCUGAAAAAUUAUUUUAAGGUCCGGAAAAUAGUUUUUAAUUAUUUUAAGUAUAUUUUGAAAAUAUUUAAUAUUUUUGGAAUAUAUAAGGUAUUUAUUUAUUUAAUAUUAAUAUUAGAUAAAUUAUUUAAAAAUAGUUUUAAUUCAUGAAAAAUCAUGAAAAAUUAUAUUAUGAUGUUAGAAAAUAUUUUAAGUUAUAAAAUAUAACUUUUGAUAUUUAGUCCUGAAACUAUUACUCUUUUAAUAUUAAUAUUAGAUAAAUUAUUUAAAAAUAGUUUUAAUUCAUGAAAAAUCAUGAAAAAUUAUAUUAUGAUGUUAGAAAAUAUUUUAAGUUAUAAAAUAUAACUUUUGAUAUUUAGUCAUGAAAAUAUUAAUAUUUUAAUAUUAAUAUUAAUUAUCGGAUAAUGGAUUUGAUUGUUUAAAAAAUCAUAGAAAUAUGGUUUUAAUGGAUUAAAAAUACUUUGUGAUAUUAUAAUUACAUUAUAAUAUUAUGAUUAUGAAUUUCAUUAAUAUUUUAUAUUAAAUAAAUAUUAAUGAUUAAGGAAUUAUGUGGUAUUUAAAUACGGUUUUAAUGAUUAAAAAAUGUUGAUAAAUGAUAUUAAUUAUCUGAAAAUUAUUUGAAGUCUUUGAAAAUUAUUUUGACUGCUAAGGAAAUUAUCUAUGAUAAUUGUAAAGUGUUCAGGAAGAGUUUAAUUGAACUUAAACUCGAUAUUCGUCCGACUAGACUGUCGGGAUGAUAGAAUUGUGUCGGUUUCAACUCAGACUUAAAUAGUUUGAAUUGAUGCUAUGUCUUAUGUGCUGUAUAGACUGAUAGGCUUAUGUGUUAUGUGUUUAGGUUAUUCUGUGGAUAUAUAUAUAUAUAAUAGUAUUAUAUUGUGAUGAUAUUAUUCUAAUAUUGGAGAUCUAUAUUGCUAAUAUUAGGUCUUCGGGUAAAGCGUUAUAAAUUGCGUAGCGGUAAUCAACGGUUCAGGCAAGUUUUUACUUAACUCUACUAAGAGUGUUUUAUUCAGAUAUGCUUAUGGUUAAUCAUUGCUGAUUGCAAUGAAAAUUGUACUCUGUACAUCUUACAUGUAUAAGUCAGGUAUGAAAGGCUGAUCACCUUCAUUACCGGUUGGUCCAGAAAUGUUUGUUCAUGUUUAAAACUUGUUCAGUCAAAAGUUUGUUCGUGCUAGUUCUCAAUUAUAUUGAUGAAUUAUAGCCAGCUUAUUAUUCAUACUCUUCAAUCAUGAUAUAUCCUUAAAUUGUAUUUAAACUUGCUGGGCAACUUUCAUGCUCACCCUUGCUAUAUCAUGAUAAACAUUGCAGAUAAGGCGAAUGCGUUCGGAUACAGGAAAAGGUUAAUGCCAAGUUCAGCUUGGGAUGUAAUGUGCGGCUAGUAUGUAAUAGUAUAGUUUGAUAAAUGUGUUGUAUGUUAGAUAAAUUGUGUAUAAGUUAAGGUUACUCGAUUUUGGGGAAUAGUGUGUAAAGUUUAAUGUAUAAACAAUUUAUGUUUAUAUCUUCCGCAGAAAGUUAUAAAAUGAUAGUGAACCGAAUCCGCGGUGAUUUGGGGCUCGGAUUCAGGGACGUCACAUUUUUUAAUUAGUAAAAUCUAAGAAAGUUUUUCUGAUAAAAUGAGUACCAAGGAAAGUCUUAAUAGUUGGUGGAUUACAAGUUUCUUAUUGAUUAAAUUGGUUUAUCAAUAAGUUGGGAAAGCCUAAUUGGCUUAGCAGACAAUCUCAAAUUGUAUUUUUCUUCUGUAUUUAUAUUUGUUAAAACUGGGCAUUUACCAGAAGUUUUUUUUAAUGAUGAUUAAAUAAAAAAAAUCUUUUAAGAAAAUAUCAUUUAGAUGAUCUUAUAUAUAUAAUUUUUAGUAAAUAAUUUUUAGGGCGGAUAUCAAUUAAGGCCUUAAUACUUGGUGGUCUCAAAGUCCCACAUUGGUUAAUUUAUAAAAGUUUAAGGAAGUUUUCUUAUAAAAAGACUACCAAGUGAGACCUUAAUAGCCAAGUCCCACAUUGGUUAAUUGGUAAAAGUCUAAGACCAUUUUUCUUAUUAAAAGACUACCAAGUGGGACCUUAAUACUUGGCUACCAAGUCUUUUACUUUUUCUUGGGCCGAAUUUUGGGUACAAGUCUUGGGUUGCUUUACCUUGGGCCAAAUUUUGGCUUCAAAGCAAGUCUUGGGCUGCUCUUCCUAGGGCCGGAUUUUGGUUUAAACUGGGGCUGAAUUUUGGCUUAAAGAUGGGGCCGGUUCAAACAUGGUAAAAAUCGAUACCGAUUGAUCCGAUACCGGACCUGCUAAUCGGUCCGUUGUACCGGUACUGGUAUCCUAUUUUGGGUAUUUUUGAUAUCCGGUUUUGUUCGAUUCGGUCCGAUAUUUUAUCGGUGAACACCCCUAUCAUCAGUCCCAUUAUUGCUUUAUAUAGGCCAUGUUGUAUCAGUCACAUUAUUGGUUUAUGUAGGCCAUUUUUAUCAUAUGCAUGCAUUACUGCCCUUUAAAAACAUAUCCAUCCCUAUAUAUUUACACCCCUAAUCCAUGCUUCAUAUUGCAAUAUUUUAAUUAUAAAAAUUUUAAUUAAUAUAUUACCCCCUCCAUUCCUAAAAGAUUGUCGUUUUAGAAAAAAAAUAUAUGUGUUGUAAUUUAUUUGUCGUUUACAACUUUCGAGGAGAAUAAAAUAUUUACUUUCCUAUAUCACCCCUACCUUCUCUCAUUGUCCCAAGAAAUUCUCUCCCUUGUAUUAAUAGUUUUCAACUUCCCAUAAAGGGGUAGUGAUGGAAUUUCAAAAAAAAUUUACUUGAUAAAUGAUACUUUCUUAAUCCAUGUGCCAAAACCUUAAACGACAAUCUUUUAGGAACAGAGGUAGUGUUGGGUAAAAUCUAAUUACGCACAAUACGCAAGUAUAAGUGGUCAACAAGUAAUAAAAUGAUAAGUUGAGUAUCGUUCCCACAGAGAAUAAUUUAAUAAAAAUCACCAAGUACUAACCCGUAACCAACUCAAUCUUAUUUAAACGAAUGAAUUUAAUGUUAUAAAUUAAAUUAUUUAACUAAACUAAUUCUAAUUACUACUAAUUAAAAAUCAGAUUAUGGAGAUUUAAGAUCAAAACUUCACUUAUUGCUUCAUUUAAGUUAACACACUCCUCAUCAAUAUAUUAUUUUCUAUCAUGAAUUGUUAAUCAAGAACACUAAAGCAGAUAAAACCACCUCUCGAUGUAUAAUACCCAUACUCACUUAAAUCCACAGAUGAUAGAACUAAUCCACUAUAUCUCUAUGUGAAUUACAAUUAAAAAGGAUUUAAAGCACAAGUUCUCUAUAAGAUUACAUAUGGCGUAAAGGCAUAUCUCUAUCCUAAACACAAAUCAUGAAUUCCAUCUAUGCAGAAAUCACAAACACAUGCUAGUAUGAUCGGAUCUAAAUCUAAACUUCAUCUCUCGAGUUCGUAUAAAUUAUCACGGUAAUUGAUGGCCAAUCAAUUAAACAAUUAAGUCCAAAUCACAAUAGACAAUCCUCACAAUAGAACAUAAUAAUUGAUAGCGAAGCAUAUUAAAAUAAACUACACAAUAAGAUCCAUUAUAAUCUCAAACAAAGAAUUAGUUCAUUGAAUUAAAACUAAAAAUACACAAUUGAAUAAAAAAUAAAAGAAAAAGAUAGAAGAAGAUGAUAAGAUAGAAUCUAUUGUCUGUAGAUUUGAUAAUCUCUCUUUGCUCGUACUUUGAAUCUUCAAUAGUCUCCAAGUCGCUUCAAUCUCCCAAUCUCAUAAGAACUAAUGUUUUCUCCUAUUCUACUCUAAUCUAAUCUAAUGGAAUCCUCUCCCCUCUCUAAUCCUUGUGAUUCUCCUCCUUUUAUAUGUCUCUUUAUAUGUCUUUAAGUCCUCUUGGAAGUUCUUGAGUCAAUUGGAUCGAACCAAUCCUUCUUGGACUCAAAUUUGGACAAAAUUUACUUUUUCUACGCGUACCCUCGCCCCGACGGGGGUUUAGCCUUGUAAAGGGCCAGCCCCGAUGGGCUAUGGUUCUGCUUUUUAGCUGGUACCCCCGCCCCGGCGGGGGUUUUCCUUAGUAAAAGCCCGCCCCGACGGGCAUCAUUUUUCUACUAAAGUGUCCUCUGGUAAAAUGGCCAUAACUUUUGAUUCGAGUGAAGUUACAAGUCCUGCCACCUAUCAAGUCGAAGAUAUCGACGAGAUCUAUAACUAUCGUUCUUUGAGAAUUGAUAGAUUUGGAUUGGAUCAAGGUGGAAAUCGGGCUUUAAGUAGAUGCAAUGUAAAUGGUAAGCAUGACAACUCCUAGCUUUGAUCUUUGUUGAUGAGAAGGCCAUAACUCUCGUAUCCGAACUCGGAUUGGGAUGAUUCAAGAUGUUUCAGAAAGCUAAGAAGUAGAUAUAUAAUAAAAUCGAAGUUCCAAGCCAAGAAAAUGCAUCCAACUUGGUGUUAAAAGCCCUGCAAUCUUCCCUUCUUGCAUUUGUUUGCGUAUUUUAGUCCAAAAGAUGUCCGAAUUGCUUUUCCUUGCUUCUUCAUGCCAAUGUUAUGUCAUUGUGACGCCCCCAAAAUAGGUAUACAUCACCCAUCUUGAGUCGCCAAAUACAUGGUAUAAAAUUUAAAUAUAACUUAAUUAUACAACAGUCGUGUAAAAUACGACAAAACAUAUGCUGUGAGUUUUAAUACAAAUAUUGUCAUCUAGACAAUAUCCACACUCAAUUGAGUCCUCAUUACAUUUAUUAUCACUCUAUUUAACAGAAUAGUGAGGACUACUAAUGCUAUUAUCUGGACCGUCACUCCGUUCCCCGACUAGUCCCUGCUACGUUCUCAUUUCCUGAAGAGAACAAUGAAAGUAAAAGGGUGAGCUCAACUAGCCCAGUAAGAAAUAUUAUGACUAAGAUAAUACAGAAUAAAUUAUCGUUAGCCUUCAACAGUGUUAAACUGAUACAAUAUAACAAACAUCAAGUUUAACUGCAGCGGAACAAGCAAUCCAUUAAAAGAGUCAAGUAGAGAAUAAAAUCUACUAUCUUUUAUGAUUUAAAAGGUUUUUCAUCACUUUUAUCGCUGGGACUCAGCUUAAUAAAUAAUCCACAUCAUCCCUGCACUACGGCCAAGGAUAUUCAUUAGUAUCACAACCACAAAUUAUCCAUGCACUACGGGCCAAGGAUAUUCGUGUAUUCAUCAAUGGUCAUGAUCAUGCCAACAACUGUCCAUCAAUGCACUACGGGCCAAUGAGGACUUUUACCACAUCAUUUGUAACAUUACGGUCAUGAUUAUACCGAAUAAUCCCUGGUCAUAAUCAUACCAAGUCCAUCUAUGCACUACAGGCCACAGAUGACUUUCAACAUAAUAUAAACAUGAGGAUGAUGACAAUGAUAUAAGAAUUCAAUAAAACAAGUUCAAGAAUUAAUUUAUCCAGGAACUAAUAACGUCCAAAUUGUCAACAUGAUACUUCUUUGUAGAGUAAAAUUCAAGAAUGCUCAGAAGAAUAUUUCCAUAAAAAGAUACUGGAUGAAGCGCAAAUAUCAAGGAUAUUCCACUAAUUUCAUGGAGUAUAGAAGUCAAAACUUUAACCAACUGAUUAUAAUAAAGAAUGGAAUAACAAAAGAAAUCACCAGGAAUUCGAUAGACCGCACAGACAGGUUAUUCCAACAGAAUAAUAAACAACGGAACCAGGUCAUGCGUAAACGCACAUACAGGAUAUUCUAACAAAAUAAUAAAUAACGGAACCAGGUCAGGCGAAAUUUGCACCGACAGGAUGUUCCAACAGAAUAAUAAAUAACGGAACCAGGUCAGGCGAAAUUCGUACCGACAGGAUGUUCUAACAGAAUAAUAAAGAAUGGAAUAACAGAAGACUUUCACCAUGUAUGCGGUACUUCGCAUAUACAGGUUAUUUCAACAGAAUAAUAAAGAAUGGAAUUAUAAAAGAAUUUCACCAUGUAUGCGGUACUUCGCAUAGACAUGUUAUUCCAACAUAAUGAUAAAGAAUGGAAUAACAUAAGUUCUCUUCAUGAAUACGAAAGAAAUAAUACCCUUUACCUUAGAAGAAACUGGAUAUAGAAGUUGUGAAGUAGCAGAACACUUUUCUUCUUUUUCUCUAUAGUUUCUCUCUCUAGAGUUUCAGUGAAUUUGUAAGAAAUAAUGAAGGAAUGAGCUUCUAUUUAUAGAAGAAUGGACUGCAUAGUAACUAAUUCCUGAACGGUCCAGAUUGAUUUACUUUUAAAUGGACGGUCCAGAUUGGUUUACAAUAAAAUAUAAUAUAUUCUAUUUAUAAUCUAAUAAAACGAAUAACUUUAUAAAAGUAUUCUGUUUUAUAUAAAAAUAUUUUACUAUGAAAAACACUAUGCAUAAUAGAAUAUAAUAUAUUCUAUUUAUAGUCUAAUAAAAUGAAUAACUUUAUAAAAGUAUUCUGUUUUAUAUAAAAAGCUUUUCUGUUUUAUUACAUUAAUAAUACAAUUAAAAUAAAACUUCAUCAAUAUUAUUAUAAUUCACACUAUUAAUCGACCAGGUCGUUCCCAGGAAAGAAGGGGCUUUUCAAUAAAGAUUUCUCCCUAUUGGCGCGCAAUUAGGUGACCAAACCUCUCCUUGGCAGAACUUCUAGACAUCGUUAAUAUUGUAAAUAAUAAUAUUAAUAACUUCGUCGUCUCAAUUAUUGAUUUAAUAAUAUAUAAAAUAUCAACAAUAAUUGAAUCAAUUAACGUAAGAUACUAUGCAACAAUUACUGAAGCAAUAAUUGAACAAAACUGAGUGACUUCUCACGUAAGCAUCAAUAAUCAAUACCGUGUGCUACUAUGCAACCACGUGUAUUAUUGUACUUUUAACACCGGGUGUUUCAACAGUUAACGGUAAAACUUCCGCCGUUAUUUUCAUAAAAAUAUUUUUAUCGUUUUCUCAAUUCGACAAUAAUUCCGUUGUGGGGUCCACCAAUGAUUGGGCCGUCGUACGAAUAUUCCCUAUUAGAACGAAUAUUCCCCGACCAAUCGAAUAUUAUAUAACAACUUGCGUACUUUGCAAAAUUUAUAAAUAUUACCCACAACUAUAACAUUAAUAUCAAAUUCAUUCCAUAAUAUUCAAAAUUGAUAAUUAUAGAAAAUUCAUCUUUAUUCAUAAAAGUUGGGGUCUGACAAUCUCCCCUUAUGAAAUUUUGCAAUCGAAAUUAGGGUACGUACCUGGUAUGUCGAAGAGGUAAGGAUACCUUGAUAUCAUUUCAGAUUCAAACUCCCAGGUCAUUUCCUCAACAUCGUGGUUCCUCUAUAAAACUUUGACUUGAGGUAUAACCUUGGAGCGUAGAAUAUGUUCCUUCUUAUCCAAGAUUUGAACAGGAACCUCUUCAUACGUUAAGUCUUCCACUAUUUCAUCCGGUUCUAACUCAAUAAUGUGGUUCGGGUCUUUCACAUAUUUAUGUAACAUGGAUAUAUGAAAAACGUUCUGAACACGAGACAUAAUUGGUAGUAAAGCGAGUCUAUAGGCUACAGUCCCUACUCGAUCGAGGAUUAAACAUGGGCCAAUGAAUUGAGGAUUGAGCUUUCUUCUCUUUCCAAAUCUAUUAACUCCUUUCCAUGGAGCAACACGUAGCAACACAUGAUCUCCAAUAUUGAAUUCCACGUCCUUUCGAUGAAGAUCAGCAUAACUCUUUUGUCGGUCUUGUGAGAUUUUUAUACGUUGUCGGAUCGUUUGAAUCUUUUUCGUAGUUAUACGUACCAACUCCGAUCCCAACAAUGUUGCUUCACCCCACCUCAUCCUAGCAUACUGGAGUACAACACUUUCUUCCAUACAACGCCUCGAAUGGAGCCAUGCCAAUACUUUCUUGAUAACUGUUGUUGUAUUAAAACUCCACCAAUGGUAAGAACUUGUCCCAACUUCCCUUGAAGUCAAGGACACAUAGUCUUAAUAAAUCUUCAAGAGUUUGAAUAGUCCUCUCUGAUUGUCCGUCCGUCUGAGGAUGAUAUGCUGAACUAGAUCGUAAAUUCAUGCCCAUAGCUUUUUGCUAACUAACCCAAAAUCGUGAAGUGAAUCUUGGGUCUCGAUCAGAAACUAUGGAUACUGGCAUACCACGCAAUCUUACAAUCUCGUUUAUGUACAUACGAGCAAGACGUUCAAGUGUAUAAGUUUCUCGUAUUAGUAAGAAAUGAGCAGACUUGGUUAAUCUAUUAACAAUGACCCAAAUUGCAUCUAUACCUUGAGAAACCUUGGGAAGACCAGUAACGAAAUCCAUGGUAAUGUGCUCCCACUUCCAUUCUAGAAUUUCAAGUGGUUGUAAUGGACCUUUUGGUACUUGAUGCUCCACCUUAAGUCGUUGAUAAGUUAGACACCUUGAGAUAAACAGCGCUAUCUCUCUCUUCAUAUUGCUCCACCAAAAUGUAUGUCGAAGAUCACGAUACAUUUUAGUACUCCCAGGAUGGAUUGCAAACGGUGUGUUGUGCGCCUCCAUCAUGAUUUUAUACUUUAAAUCAGGGUCGUUAGGAACACAAAGUCUGGAGUUGACUCGAAGUAUUCCUUCUUCAUCGAUUCUUGCUUCCGGCAAAGCACCUUCUUGUUCUUUCUUCCUCAUACGCAUUAGCUCCAGGUCUGUAGCUUGAGCAGCUUUAACUUUAUCAAUUAAAGUUGGUUUUACUCGUAUAUUCGCCAUCAUUACGUGGGUCCCUGGAGUGUUUAUCUCUAUCUCCAUCCUUUGCAAGUCAUACAAAAUGGGCCUUUGCGUUGACAAUAUCGCACUUGUACCCGCAUAUGAUCUUCUACUCAAUGCGUCAGCUACCACGUUUGCUUUUCCAAGAUGGUAUUGGAUGGUAUGAUCAUAAUCUUUCAAUAGUUCAAGCCAACGUUGCUGUCGCAUGUUGAGUUCCUUUUGAGUGAAGAAAUAUUUGAGGCUUUUAUGAUCCGUAAAGAUCUCCACUUUCUCCCCAUACAAGUAAUGCCUCCAAAUUUUAAGUGCGAAGACAACAGCUGCCAACUCUAGAUCAUGAGUAGGAUAAUUCCUCUCAAAUUCUUUGAGUUGCCGAGAGGCAUAGGCUAUGACUUUCCCAUGUUUCAUGAGAACACAUCCUAACCCUUUGCCCGAAGCAUCACUGUAGAUGAUAAAUCCCUCCGAACAAGAUGGUAUUGUCAGAACAGGUGCUGAAAUGAGUCUCCUAUUGAGUUCUUCAAAAUUCUUCUCACAUUCCCUGUUCCAACCGAAUUUUGUAUCUUUCCAAGUCAGCUGAGUUAAGGGAGCAGCGAUUCUAGCAAACCCUUCUAUGAAUCUCCGAUAAUAACCAGCUAAGCCGAGAAAGUUAUGUACUUCGGUCACUGAUUUAGGUUGCUCCCAGCUUUGAAUAGCUUCAAUCUUUCCUGGGUCAACAGAUAUUCCAUGACUUGAUACUAUGUGCCCAAGGAAUGCUACUUCUUCAAGCUAGAACUCGCAUUUCUUUAACUUGGCAUAAAGCUUAUAUUCACGAAGCUUUUGGAAUAUCAGCCUCAAGUGUUGCUCAUGAUCUUCACGGCUUUUGGAAUAAAUAUGGAUGUCAUCAAUAAAGGCGACCACAAAGUGAUCCAAAUAUUCCUUGAAUACUCGGUUCAUCAUAUCCAUGAAGGCAACAGGAGCAUUAGUCAAUCCAAAAGACAUGACUAGGAAUUCAUAAUGCCCGUACAGAGUUUUGAAAGCCGUCUUUGGAAUGUCAUCGGUUCUAAUCUUCAAUUGGUGAUAUUCGAAAUGAAGAUCAAUCUUUAAAAAAAAUUGGCGCCUUGCAACUGGUCAAACAGGUCAUCAAUACGUGACAAUGGGUACCUAUUUUUGAUGCUGACAUGAUUCAACUCCCGAUAAUCAAUACAAAGUUGCAUACUCCCAUCUUUCUUCUUCACAAAUAGAACAGGAGCAUCCCAAAGAGAAGUACUAGGAUGAAUAAAGCCAAUGUCUAACAAUUCCUGCAGUUGGGUCUUUAACUCCUGAAGUUCAAUAAGAGCCAUUCGAUAUGGGGCUUUGGAAAUGGGUUUUGUACCGGGUUCAAGGUAGAUACAAAAUUCAAUUUCACGCUCUGGGGGUAGGCCAGGAAGUUCUUCAGGGAAUACGUCAGGAAAUUUAUUAACAAUAAAAAUAUCAUUCAAAACUGACGUAUUUUUGUUUAGAUCCGUGACAUGAGCUAGAAAGCUUGACAUCCGUUUUUCAAUAAAUGAAUAGAUUUAUGGCUUGAGAUGACAGUGAUUGAUUUUAAUAAUUUGGUUGCUUGAAUUCGCAUAAUAGGUUGGUUAGGAAUAUGAAAUCUAACAAUGUUACGAAAACAAUCAAUUUUUGCAUGAUGAGUAGUUAACCAAUCAAUCCCUAGAAUUACGUCAAAUGCAAGUAUUUUCAAUGAAAUAAGAUCAACAUGUAAUGUGACGGUACCGAUUUGAACCAAAUAAGACUUAUAAACAGUGGAUGUAAUGAAGGUUUCUCCCAACAGAGUUUCAACAGAUAAGUCAAAGUCUAAUUUCUCCGAAGUCAAAUUUUAACGUUGAGCGCAAGUAGGAGAAAUAAAAGAAUGGGUAGAACCGGUAUCAAAUAAGGUUUAUACUUCGCUAGAAUUUAUGAUAAGCUUACCCGUGAUGACCUCGUUUGGGUUCCUUGCUUUCUGGGAGGUCACGACAAACGCUCUCCCCUGCACGACUGGCUUUGACUUUUCUGGUACGUCCUUUGGUGCCUCCAUCCUAGCUAAACUUGUCUUUGGUGAAUGACAAAAUUGGGCUAGGUGACCUUCUUUUCUACAAUUUUAACAUGCUUUGGACGGCAUCAUGCAGUUUGGAAUGAUGUGUCCCUCCUCUCCGCAUUUGAAGCAUAUGAUAGGUGGUCGUUCUCCUUCCAUAACAACGGGUGCUGGUGCUGACGUCUUUCCAUCAUUGUUGAAUCUCCUCUUCUUGAAAUGUCCAUUCUUAUUGUUUUGGCCAUGAUUACCACCAAAGUGGUUACCAUUUCUGGCAUGUUGAUUCCCUCCACGCUUAUUGUCACCACUUCGAUGACUGCUAUCAUUAGUAUUAUCAUUUUGCCGGCUGCUCUCUUUUUGUUGGGUUGACUCAUUAUCGCGCUCCAAUAACUGAGCCCUAUUAACAACAUUUGAAUACAAACACAGUUUAUGAGAGAUAAGAUAUUAACGUAUCUCGGGUUUCAAACCUCUUAGAAACAUUCGCGUCAUUCUCUCCUCAUUAUCAACCAAAUGGGACGUAAACCGGGACAACUCAGCGAACUUGGCUUCGUACUGCGACAUGGUAAUGUUGUUUUUCUCCAGCUUGAUGAACUCUACCUCUUUCAUGUGACAAAUACUUUCGGGAAAGUACUUGUCAUUGAACAAUUCUUAGAACUUCUCCCAAGUCAUCUUCAGUGCGGCAGGUUGAGUACGUUUUACAGAUUCCCACCAGUAAUCUGCCUCUGCACGCAACAUGAUGGUGGCAAAGGGAACCUUUUACUCCUUGGAGCAUCCCAAGAUAUCAAAUAUCUUGCAGAUCUGCUUUAUCCAUAUCUCCGCCUUAAGUGGUUUUGGCUCUCCAAAAAACUCUGGUGGUCCCAGUCUUGAACUGCUUAGCGGUGACCGUCCGAGAGUUGCCAGUGUUUCCACCUGCAUUUUGGAUAGGAGCCGCUCUUGCCUGAUUUUGUAUGAAUUUCAUAAAGCCUCUGAACAUUUCAUCGUUCAUCUUCUGGUCAGUGUUGGUGUUUGCCUGAGGAUUGUCGCCUUCCUGAUGCACAUUAUCCUGAUUAUUGAUCUGUGGAGACUCAACGGUCUCCUGUGCUCCAUUGCUAUUCUCAACAUUCUCGGAUGUCAUUUUCAAAUACUGCCACAAAACAAGGGUUAAUUAACAUAUCACAUAUUAUCCCUAUACUCUGACCGACCAAUUAAAUACCAAAUAAACUUAGGUAGGUCAUACUAGCGAAGGAAUUCCCCGUCUCUCCCCUCCUAGUUCUUGUCUCACAUCUCAGCCAGGGAUCAUAUCCCUAAGCUUUGAUACCAACUGUGACGCCCCCAAAAUAGGUAUACAUCACCUAUUCUGAGUCGCCAAAUACAUGGUACAGAAUACAAAUACAAUCUUAAAUAUACAACAUGAGCUGUGAGUUUUAAUACAAAUAUUGUCUUCUAGACAGUAUUCAAACUCAAAAUAAGUCCUCAAUACAUUUAUUAUCACACUAUUUCAUAGAAUAGUGAGGACUACUAAUGCUAUCAUCUGGACCGUCACUCCGUUCCCCGACUAGUCCCUGCUACGUUCUUGUUUCCUAAAGAGAACAAUGAAAGUAAAAGGGUGAGCUCAACUAGCCCAGUAAGAAAUAUUAUGACUAAGAUAAUGCAGAAUAAAUUAUCAUUAGCCUUCAACGGUGUUAAACUGAUACAAUAUAACAAACAUCAAGUUUAACUGCAGCGGAACAAACAAUCCAUUAAAAGAGUCAAGUAGAGAAUAAAAUCUACUAUCUUUUAUGAUUUAAAAGGUUUUUAAUCACUUUUAUCGCUGGGACUCUGCUUAAUAAAUAAUCCACAUCAUCCCUGUACUACAACCAAGGAUAUUCAUUAGUAUCACAACCACAAAUUAUCCAUGCACUACGGGCCAAGGAUAUUCGUGUAUUCAUCAAUGGUCAUGAUCAUGCCAACAACUGUCCAUCAAUGCACUAUGGGCCAAUGAGGACUUUUACCACAUCAUUUGUAAAAUUACGGUCGUGAUUAUACCGAUAAAUCCCUGGUCAUAAUCAUACCAAGUCCAUCUAUGCACUACAGGCCACAGAUGACUUUCAACAUAAUAUAAACAUGAGGAUGAUGACAAUGAUAUAAGAAUUGAAUAAAACAAGUUCAAGAAUUAAUUUAUCUAGAAACUAAUAACGUCCAAAUUGUCAACAUGAUACUUCUUUGUAGAGUAAAAUUCAAGAAUGCUCAGAAGAAUAUUUCCAUGAAAAGAUACUGGACGAAGCGCAAAUAUCAAGGAUAUUUCACUAAUUUCAUGGAGUAUAGAAGUCAAAACUUUAACCAACUGAGUAUAAUAAAGAAUGGAAUAACAAAAGAAAUCACCAGGCAUGCGAUAGACCGUACAGACAGGUUAUUCCAAUAGAAUAAUAAACAACGAAACCAGGUCAUGCAUAAACGCAUAGGCAGGAUAUUCUAACAGAAUAAUAAAUAACAGAACCAGGUCAGGCAAAAUUCGCACCGACAGGAUGUUCCAACAGAAUAAUAAAUAAUGGAACUAGGUCAUGCGUAAACGCACAGACAGGAUGUUCCAACAGAAUAAUAAAUAACAGAACCAGGUCAGGCAAAAUUCGCACCGACAGGAUGUUCUAACAUAAUAAUAAAGAAUGGAAUAACAGAAGACUUUCACCAUGUAUGCGGUACUUCGCAUAGACAGGUUAUUCAAACAGAAUAAUAAAAAAUGGAAUAACAGAAGAAUUUCACCAUGUAUGCGGUACUUCGCAUAGACAUGUUAUUCCAACAUAAUGAUAAAGAAUGGAAUAACAUAAGUUCUCUUCAUGAAUACGAAAGAAAUAAUACCCCUUACCUUAGAAGAAAUUGGAUAUAGAAGUGGUGAAGUAGCAGAACACUUUUCUUCUUUCUCUCUAUAGUUUCUCUCUCUAGAGUUUCAGUGAAUUCAUAAGAAAUAAUAAAGGAAUGAGAUUCUAUUUAUAGAAAAAUGGACUGAAUAGUAACUAAUUCCUGAACGGUCCAGAUUGAUUUACUUUUAAACGGACGGUCUAGAUUGGUUUACAAUAUUAUAAUCUAAUAAAACGAAUAACUUUAUAAAAGUAUUCUAUUUUAUAUAAAAAUCUUUUCUAUUUUAUUACAUUAAAAAUACAAAUAAAACCAAACUUCAUCAUCAUUAUUAUAAUUCACACUAUUAAUCGACCAGGCCGUUCCCAGGAAAGAGGGGGCUUUCCAAUAAAAAUUUCUCCCUAUUGGCGCACAAUUAGGUGACCAAACCUCUCCUUGGCAGAACUUCUAAACAUCGUUAAUAUUGCAAAUAAUAAUAUUAAUAACUUCGUCGUCUCAAUUAUUUAUUUAAUGAUAUAUAAAAUAUCGACAAUAAUUGAAUCAAUUAACGUGAGAUACUAUGAAACAAUUACUGAAGCAAUAAUUGAACAAAACUGAGUGACUUCUCACGUAAGCAUCAAUAAUCAAUACCGUGUGCUACUAUGUAACCACGCGUAUUACUGUACUUUUAACACCGAGUGUUUCAACAGCAAACGGUAAAACUUCCGCCAUUAUUUUCAUAAAAAUAUUUUUGUCGUUUUCUCAAUCCGAAAAUAAUUCCGUUGUGGGGUUCACCAAUGAUUGGGCCAUCGUACGAAUAUUCCCUAUUAAAACGAAUAUUCCCCGACUAAUCGAAUAUUAUAUAACAACUUGUGUACUUUGCAAAAUUUAUAAAUAUCACCCACAACUAUAACAUUAUAUCAAAUUCAUUCCAUAAUAUUCAAAAAUGAUAAUUAUAGAAAAUUCAUCUUUAUUCAUAAAAGUUGGGGUCUUACAGUUAUAGCCUACAAAAUAACAUAAAAUGUAUAAAAAGUAACUAAGAAACAUAGGUUUAAGAAACUAAUUCAAGUAAUAGAUACCGGUUAAGUAGGUAUAAAACCUACUUAUCAAAUACCCCCAAACUUAAACCGUUGCUUGUCCUCAAUCAAAAACACAAAUUAGACAGAUACAUCCUCUAGCAAUGAUCCACCAAAAUAAUGAAUCAAUAUGAAUUCGAUCAAUGGCCUCAAAGGUUAAAACAAAUGAUAACCCAUAGAAAAUUUCAAAACAAUGUCAUGUCUAAAAUUUUAAUAACUUUCAUUAGAUUCACAUCUACUCUUGAUGCUUCAAGUGCGUGUGUGCAUCCAUAUGUUCAAACCAGUCAUGAUUUAGAUUAGAUCAACCAAUACUCAUAAAAGAUUUUCAAAAACGACUUUCAAAACUUCUUAUCACAUCAAUCACCGCUAAUAUAGAUAUAGCACAAAUUUUUCUUGAGGAUCAACCAGAUAUUUAAACUUUUAAGCACGUAAGAAUCCUUCCCAAGUAUUUCAAACAUAUAUAUUUUCCUUUCUUUAUUUAGUGAGUGCGUUUUACGCUCCAUCUCACUUUUCACUUUCCAUUGAACGAGUGCGUUUUAUGCUCCAUCUCGCUUUCCACUUUUCAUUGAACGAGUAUAUUUUACGCUCCAUCUCGCUUUCUACUUUUCAUUUUACGAGUGCGUUUUACGCUCUAUCUCGACCCACCACAAGAUUCAAUUAUUCAACUCGGGAAGGUUCCAAUAAUUUUAUAUUAUUUUUUUUUCAUAAAUACCCCAAGAUUUCCCCCAAACUUAUGUGAGUGCCUAAUUUUCACUUUGAAUGAUGCUCAAAUAAGAUUCCUCAAGUUUAAAUGGUAUCUUUCAUAAGCAUUUAGCCAAACAAAUUCAAUCCCAACUGGCUAAACAAAUGGAUAUAUGAAAAAAAUUUCAAAAAUUUUACAAGUAUUGUGAAAUCAACUAAUGAGUUAAAAUAUAAACUAGGCAUGCUCAUCAAAUUUCUAAGAGUUAACAACAUCAACCACCCACGUAUCAUUGGCCAAAAUCAAAUUCCAUCAAAACAUUGCCCAAGUAAAUACUAAACAUAAUAAAUGCCCCUAAACUUAAAACAGACAUUGUCCUCAAUGGCUAAGAUAAAAAAAAUUAAAACAGAGGACUUUCCUAAAAAUAUAGCAAUCCUCCUUGUGACGCCCCCAAAAUAGGAAUACAUCACCCAUCUUGAGUUGCCAAAUACAUGGUACAAAAUUUAAAUACAACUUAAUUAUAAAACAGUUGUGUAAAAUACGACAAAAUAUAAUCUAAGAAUUUUAGGAAGAAUAUUGUCAUCUAGACAAUAUCCACACUCAAUGGAGUCCUCAUUACAUUUAUUGUCACACUAUUUAACAAAAUAGUGAGGACUACUAAUGCUAUCAUCUGGACCGUCACUCCGUUCCCCGACUAGUCCCGGCUAUGUUCUCAUUUCCUGAAGAGAACAGUGAAAGAAAGGGUGAGCUCAACUAGCCCAGUAAGAAAUAUUAUGACUAAAAUAAUGCAGAAUAAAUUAUCAUUAGUCUUCAACAAUGUUAAACUGAUAAAAUACAAUAGACAUCAAGGUUAACUGCAGCAGAAUAAUCAAUCCAUUAGAAGAGUCAAGUAAAGCAUGAUAUCUACUAUCUUUUAUGAUUUAAAAUGUUUUCAUCAAUUUUUUUUAUCGCUGAGACUCAGCUUAAUAAAUAAACCACAUCAUCGAGUCAUCCCUGCACUACGUGCCAAGGAUAUUCUAACAGAAUAAUAAAGAAUAGAAUAACAAAGAAUUCACCAUGCAUGCAAUAGACCGCACAAACUGGUUAUUCCAACAGAAUAAUAAAGAAUGGAACCAGGUCUAGCGUAAUCCGCACAGACAGGAUAUUCCAACAGAAUAAUAAAGAAUAGAAUAACAGAAGAAUUUCACCAUGUAUGCGGUACUUCACAUAGACAGGUUAUUCUUAUAUAAUAAUAAAGAAUAGAAUAACAGAAGCUCUCUUCAUGAAUACAAAAGAAAUAAUACCCCUUACCUUAGAAAGAAAUUGGAUACUGGAGUAGAGAGGUAGCAGACUUCUCUUCUUCAUUCUCUUUAUAAUUACUCUAUAGCUUUAGUGAAUUGGUGAGAAAUAAAGGAAGAAUGAGCUUCUAUUUAUAGGAAAAUAUAGUUUUGAUAAUUGCACGUUUUUGGGCUCAAAAUAUUACAGUACAAUACCUUCAACUUUUUUUUUAUUUUUAAUUUAGUCCUGCAAGUAUUAUCAAAAUUGCACCACCUCCCCUAAUAGUAAAUAAUGUGAAUCAAUAGUUCAAUCAUGUGAAUCAAUAGUUAUAAUCAUGUGAAAAUACGAAUUACAGUAUAGUNNNNNNNNNNNNNNNNNNNNNNNNNNNNNNNNNNNNNNNNNNNNNNNNNNNNNNNNNNNNNNNNNNNNNNNNNNNNNNNNNNNNNNNNNNNNNNNNNNNNNNNNNNNNNNNNNNNNNNNNNNNNNNNNNNNNNNNNNNNNNNNNNNNNNNNNNNNNNNNNNNNNNNNNNNNNNNNNNNNNNNNNNNNNNNNNNNNNNNNNNNNNNNNNNNNNNNNNNNNNNNNNUACCUGGUAUGUCGAAGAGGUGAGGAUACCUUGAUUUCAUCUCAGAUUCUAACUCCCAGGUCAUUUCCUCCACAUCGUGGUUUCUCCACAAAACUUUGACUUGAGGUAUAACUUUAGAGUGUAGAAUAUGAUCCUUCUUAUCUAAGAUUUUAACAGGUAACUCUUCAUACUUUAAAUCUUCCUCUAUCUCGUCUGGUUCUAAUUCAAUAAUAUGGUUCGGGUCUUUCACAUAUUUACGUAACAUAGAUAUGUAAAAAACGUUAUGAACACGAGACAUACUUGGCGGUAAGGCGAGUCUAUAGGCCACAGUUCCUACUCGAUCGAAGAUUAAAAAUGGGCCAAUGAAUCGAGGAUUGAGCUUUCCUCUCUUUCCAAAUCUUGUAACUCCUUUCCAUGGAGCAACACGUAACAACACACAAUCUCCAAUAUUGAAUUCCACGUCCUUUCGAUAAAGAUUAGCAUAACUCUUUUGUCGAUCUUGUGAGGUUUUUAUACGUUGUCGGAUCGUUUGAAUCUUUUUUGUAGUCAUACGUACCAAAUCCGGUCCCAACAACGUUGCUUCACCCACCUCAUCCCAGCAUACUAGAGAACGACACGUUCUUCCAUACAAAUCCUCAAAUGGAGCCAUACCAAUACUUGUUUGAUAACUGUUGUUGUUGGAAAACUCCACCAAUGGAAAGAACUAGUCGCAACUUCCCUUGAAGUCAAGGACACAUAGUCUUAAUAAAUCUUCAAGAGUUUGAAUAGUCCUUUCCGACUGCCCAUCUGUUUGAGGAUGAUAUGCCGAACUAAAUCGUAAAUUUGUGCCCAUAGCUUUUUGCAAACUAACCCAAAAUCUUGAAGUGAAUCUUGGGUCUCGAUCAGAAACUAUGGAUAUUGGCAUACCAUGGAAUCUUACGAUCUCGUUUAUAUACAUACUAGCAAGACGUUCAAGUGUAAAAGUUUCUUGUAUCGAUAAGAAAUGAGCAGACUUGGUCAAUCUAUCAACAAUGACCCAAAUCACAUCUAUGCCUUGAGAAACCUUGGGAAGACUGGUAACAAAAUCCAUGGUAAUGUGCUCCCACUCCCAUUCUAGAAUUUCAAGUGGUUGCAAUGGACCUUUUGGCACUUGAUGCUCCUCCUUGACUUGUUGACAAGUUAGACACCUUGAGAUAAACCCCGCCAUCUCUCUCUUCAUAUUGCUCCACCAAAAUGUAUGUCGAAGAUCACGAUACAUUUUAGUACUCCCAGAAUGGAUUGCAAACGAUGUGUUGUGCGCCUCCAUCAUGAUUUUAUACUUCAAGUCAGAAUCGUUAGGAACACAAAGUCUGGAGUUGACUCGAAGUAUUCCUUCUUCAUCGAUUCUUGCUUCCGGAAUAGCACCUUCUUGCACUUUCUUCUUCAUGUGCAUCAGCUCCAGGUCUGUAGUUUGAGCAGCUUUAACUUUAUCGAUUAAAGUCGGUUCCACUCGUAUAUUCACCAUCAUCACAUGGGUCCUUGGAGUUUUAACUCUAUUUCCAUCCUUUCCAAGUCAUACAAAACGGGUCUUUAUGUUGACAAUAUUGCACUCAUACCAGCAUAUGAUCUUCUACUCAAUGCGUCAGCUACUACGUUCAUUUUUCCAGGAUGGUAUUGGAUGGUAUGAUCAUAAUCUUUCAACAACUCAAGCCAUUAUCGCUGUCGCCUGUUGAGUUCCUUUUGAGUGAAGAAAUAUUUGAGGCUUUUAUGAUCCGUAAAGAUCUCCACUUUCUCCCCAUACAAAUAAUGCCUCCAAAUCUUUAGUGCAAAAAUGACUGCUGCCAACUCUAGAUCAUGAGUAGGAUAAUUCCUCUCAUAUUCUUUGAGUUGUCGUGAGGCAUAGGCUAUGACUUUCCCAUGUUGCAUGAGAACACAUCCUAACCCUUUGCCCGAAGCAUCACUGUAGAUGACAAAUCCCUCCGAGCCAGAUGGUAUUGUCAGAACGGGUGCUGAAAUGAGUCUCCUCUUGAGUUCUUGAAAACUCUUUUCACAUUCCUCGCUCCAGCUAAAUUUUGUAUCUUUUCGAGUCAGUUGAGUUAAUGGAGUAGCGAUUCGAGAAAACCCUUCUAAGAAUCUCCGAUAAUAACCAGCUAAGUCGAGAAAGCUACCUACUUUGGUCACUGACUUAGGUUGCUCCCAGCUUUGAAUUGCUUCAAUCUUUGUCGGGUCAACAGAUAUUCUAUGAUUUGAUAUCACGUGCCCAAGGAAUGCAACUUUCUCAAGCCAGAACUCACAUUUAUUAAACUUGUCAUAAAGCUUGUUUUCACGAAGCUUUUGGAGUAUCAGCCUCAAGUGUUGCUCAUGGUCUUCGCGGGUUUUAGAGUAUAUGAGGAUGUCAUCAAUAAAGAUGACCACAAAGUGAUCCAAAUAUUCCUUGAAUACUCGGUUCAUCAUAUCCAUGAAGGCAGCAGGAGCAUUAGUCAAUCCAAAAGACAUGACUAGGAAUUCAUAAUGCCCGUACCGAGUUCUGAAAGCAGUCUUUGGAAUGUCAUCAGUUUUAAUCUUCAACUGAUGAUAUCCGGAACGAAGAUCAAUCUUUGAAAAGAAUUUGGCUCUUUGUAACUGGUCAAACAGGUCAUCAAUGCGAGGCAACGGGUACCUAUUUUUGAUGGUGACAUGAUUCAACUCCAGAUAAUCAAUACAAAGUCACAUACUUCCUUCUUUCUUCUUUACGAAUAGAACAGGAGCACCCCAAGGAGACGUACUAGGACGAAUGAAACCGAUGUCUAACAAUUCCUCUAGUUGGGUUUUUAACUCCUGAAGUUAAAUAGGAGCCAUUCGAUAUGGGGCUUUGGAAUGGAUUUUGUACCGGAUUCAAGGUUGAUACAAAAUUCAAUUUCACGCUCUGGGGUUAGGCCAGGAAGUUCUUCAAGGAAUACGUCAGGAAAUUUAUUAACAAUAGAAAUAUCAUUCAAAUUUGACGUAUCUUUAUUUAAAUCCAUGACAUGGGCUAAGAAAGCCUGACAUCCGUUUUUCAAUAAACGAAUAGUUUUAUGACUUGAUAUAAUAGUGAUUUGGUUGCUUGAAUUCGCAUAAUAGGUUGGUUAGGAUUAUGAAAGCUAACAACCUUACAAAAAUAAUCGAUUUUAGCAUGAUGAGUAGUUAACCAAUCAACCCUAAAAUCACAUCAAAUGCAAGUAUUUUCAAAGAAAUAAGAUCGACAGGUAAUGUGCGGUUAUCGAUUUGAAUCAAACAAGACUUAUAAACCGUGGAUGUAAUGAAAGUUUCUCCCAACAGAGUUUCAAUAAAUAAGUCAAAGUCUAAUUUCUCCGGAGUCAAAUUUAAACGUUGAGCGCAAGUAGGAGAAAUAAAGGAAUGGGUAGAACCGGUAUCAAACAAAGUAUAAACUUCGCUAGAUUUUAUGAUUAGCUUACCCGUGAUCACCUCGUUCAGAUUCCUCGCUUUUUGGGAGGUUACGACAAACGCUUUCCCUUGAACUACCGGUUUUGUCUUGUCUGGGACACCCUUUGAUGCCUCCAUCCCAAUUGGACUUGACUUUGGUGAACGACAAAAUCAGGCCAGGUGACCUUCUUUUCCACAAUUAUAACACACUUUGGACUGCAUCAUGCAGUUUGGACUUAUGUGUCCUUUCCCUCCACAUUUGUAACAUACGACCGAUGGUCGUUAACAAUAGGUGUUUGUGCUGACGUCUUUCUAUCCUUGUUAAAUCUCCUCUUCUUGAAAUGUCCACUCUUAUUUUCAUGGCCAUGAUUACCACCGAAGUGAUUAUAAUUUCUGGCAUGUUGAUACCCUCCACAUUUGUUGUCACCACUUCGAUGACUGCUACCAUUGGUAUUAUCAACUUUUUGGUUGCUCUAUCUUGGUUAGGUUGACUCAUUAUCGCGCUCCAAUAACUGAGCCCUAUUCACAACAUCUGAAUACAAACACAGUUUGUGAGAAAUUAGGUAUUUACAUAUCUCGGGUUUCAAACCUCUUCGAAACAUCCGCGUCAUUCUCUCCUCAUUAUCAACUAAGUGGGACGCAAACCGAGAUAACUCGGUAAACUUAGCUUCGUACUGCGCCACGGUCAUAUUCUUUUGCUCAAGCUUGAUGAACUCUACCUCCUUCAUGUGACGAAUACUUUUAGAAAAGUAAUUAUCAUUGAACAGCUCUUGGAACUUCUCCAAAGACAUUUUGAGUACGGCAGGUUGAGUACGCUUGACAGAUUCCCACCAGUAAUCUGCAUCUGCUCGUAACAUGAAGGUGGAAAAGGGAACCUUUUGCUCCUCGGAGCAUCCCAAGUGUGAGAAUCCAGAUUUUAUGAAUAAAGAAUUAAUUUUUCUCGAAAUAAUUUUUUUUUAUUAUGAUGUGAAUUUGAGAUAAUGUUAUAGUUGUGGGUAGUAUUUAUAAAUUUUGCAAAGUAUGCAAGUUGUCAUAUUAUAUUCGAUUGGUUGGGGAAUAUUCUUUUUGUCGGUAAAUAUCCGUACGACGGUACAAUCAUUGGUGGACCCCACAACGGAAUUAUUGUCGGAUUGAGAAAACGACAAAAAUAUUUUAUUGAAAAUAACAACGGAAGUUUUACCGUUGAUACUGUUGAACUACUCGGUAAUAAAAGUACAGUAAUACGCGUUGUUGCAUAGUAGCACACAGUAUUGAUUAUUGAUAUUUAUGUGAGAAGUCACUCAGUUUUGUUCAAUUAUUGCUACAAUAGUUGCUGCAUAGUAUCUCACAUUAUUUGAUUCAAUUAUUAUUGAUUUAGAAGUUUUGUUUUNNNNNNNNNNNNNNNNNNNNNNNNNNNNNNNNNNNNNNNNNNNNNNNNNNNNNNNNNNNNNNNNNNNNNNNNNNNNNNNNNNNNNNNNNNNNNNNNNNNNNNNNNNNNNNNNNNNNNNNNNNNNNNNNNNNNNNNNNNNNNNNNNNNNNNNNNNNNNNNNNNNNNNNNNNNNNNNNNNNNNNNNNNNNNNNNNUCAGAUUAAAGUAAAUCAAUCUGAACCGUUCAUGGAUUAGUUACUAUGCAUUCCAUUUUCCUAUAAAUAGGAAGCUUAGUUAGAAUUGAAAUCACACCAGAAGUUCAGAGAAUUCUCCUUCUAUAGUCUUGAGCGUAUUUCCUUAAGAGUUUUAAGAAACUUUGAGCGAAGAACAUAGUAUAAAUUUUCUUUAAGAAAAUCCUCACCCUAUCAGUCGGAAUAUUCUUCUUUUACGGUAAGGGAUGUUAUUCUUUUAUAUUCAUGAAGAGAACUGUUGUUAUUCCAUUCUUUAUUAUUCUGUUGGAAUAACCUGUAUACGCGGAAUACCCUAUACUUGGUGACAUUCUUCUAUUAUUCUGUCGGAAUAUCCUGUCUAUGCUAUACACCGGACCUGGUUCCAUUUUAUUAUUCCGUCUUUAUUAUUCUGUCGGAAUAUCCUAUAUGUGCUAUACGUCGGACCUGGUUCUAUUUUAUUAUUUCGUCUUUAUUAUUCUGUCGGAAUAUCCUGUCGAUGUGAAUUUCACCUUACCUGGUUCCAUAUUUAUUAUUCCGCAUUUAUUAUUCUGUUGGGAAUAACCUGUCUGUGCGGUCUCUAUCGCAUGCAUGGUGAAUCCUUUUGUUAUUCCAUUCUUUAUUAUUCUGUUGGAAUAACCUGUCUAUGUGGAUUACCACAUGCAUGGUGAAUGAUCCUUUGUAUUCAUUCCUUAUUAAAUUGUGGAAAUGAUCUGUAUACGUGGAUUACCACAUGGCGGGUAAAAAUCCAUUUACAGUUUCAUAUAUUCUUUAUUAUACUCAGUUGGUUAAAGUUUUGAUUUCUAUACUCCAUGAAAUUAGUGGAAUAUCUUUGAUAUUUGCGCUUCAUCUAGUAUCUUUUCAUGGAAACAUUCUUCUGAGCAUUCUUCAAUUUUACUCUACAAAGAAGUAUCAUGUUGACAAUUUGGACAUUAUUGAGUUCAGGAUAAAUUAACUUAUAAACCUUUAAAAUUUAUUCUUGAACUUGUUUUAUUAAGUUAUAUGUCAUUGUCAUGAUGAGUUAUGUUGGUUAUUAUGUGAAAACAUGAAAGUUUCUUAGAAAUCGCAAAGGGUUGAAAAAUCAGAUUUUGAUAAAAACGGAACAUGUAAUUCAAUAGACCAUAUCUCCUAAUAUAUUUCAAAUUUUUGAGUGUGGUCAAGUCCUAGAGUUAUAUCUAUGAGUUACCUAACUUAUCCAAGUGGAAUCACUGGAAAAGAUGGUGUAGAUUUUUGUGUGGACUGAUUUUAGUAAAAGAUGUAAAAGCUGGAAAUUUUAAAAAAGUUGCUGUCCAAAAUUUGAAGGGGCUGUUUUGGCCACUUAAUUUGUGAGAAAAAUUCAGGCCUUUUGGGAAAUGAAAGUAUAUGGUAUGAAGAACCUCCUGUCCAAGAAUGAGCUCAUUCUGAUUUAAAAUGAACAAGUUAUGACCAUUUCAAUAUUUAGGUUUUUCUGACGAAAAACGCUAUAACCGGAGUUCUACACUUCCGAUGACCAUGAAAUUUAAACUGGAGGCUCACAUUAACAUGUAUAAGGUCCUGCCAAGAUUUGGGAAUUUUUGGUGUUAAACUUGAGGUAGCUAAUUUUUUAAGGAAUUAAUUAGAAAUUGAUUUUUGAAAAAUAGUAAAUGAAUUUUAAAAAUUCCGAGAAAAAUAUAUUUUCAUUAUGGGACUAUAUUAUGUUGAAUCCCAGAAAAGAAAUAUUUUUGGGACUGAUUUGGUAUUUUUCAUAAAAAUGAUUUAGUUACGAAUAUAUGAGUUAAAUAUGAUAUGUGAAGUAACAAAGUUGGAAAAAUAUGAUUUUAUGGCUUGAAAAUCCUAUAUAGGGUAUAUGUAUAUUAUUGAUGAGGGAUUUGAUCGUUGGUGAUGAAAUCUUAUGAGUAUAACAUUCUUGAAUGAUUAAAUUCAUUAUUUGGUAAAGUGUAAACAAUUGAAAUAAAUUGUUUAUAAGUUUAAGAAGUGAUUAAAACAUUUUUAUGAUAUUAACAAUAUUAGAUUAUAAAUUUAUUAUGUGAUUAAUAAUAUUUGGAUAAAUUUAAAGUCUUUAAUAUUUAUCUUUGUUCUCAGUUAAUUAAUGAUUAUAUCAUUGUCAUCAUCCUCAUGCUUAUAGGGUGAUAAAAGUUAUCUUUGGCUUACGUGCGAAGAUGGACUGUUGAUUAUUGAAUUGUAUAUCUUUGGCUUACGUGCAAAGAUGGAUUGUUAAUUAUUGGUUUUAUUGUUUUAUAUAUUUGGCUUACGUGUAGAGAUGGACUGGGUAUGAUUGUGAUCAGGGAUUAUUCGGUAUAAGUCAUAACCAUUGAUGAUUUAAUGAAUAUCUUUGGCCCGUAGUGCAGGGAUGAUUCGAUGAUGUGGUUCAUUUACAGGGAUAAAACAUUAUUGGUGGACUUUUAAUAUGGAGAAGAUAAUAGACCUGAUGGUCUAUUUGACUCUUUUAAUGGAUUGCUAGUUCCGCUGCAACUAUGGUUGAAAAGUUUUAUCAUCUAGCAUAUGUUCUAAAUCUCUGAGUUAUUAUUAAUGAAAACUAUUGAUAAUGUAAUUAUCUUUAGUUGUGAUAUUCUUUACUGGGCUAGUUGUGCUCACCCUUUUGCUUCAUAAUUCCUUUCAAGUAAUAAGAGUGUAGUUGGAUCGAGCGAGGACUAUAGGGAAAGAGUAAGAUGGUCCGAGACUGUUGAAGUUUCUCAAUACAUUAUAAAACGGCAUGACAUGCAAUAUAUAAUUGCAUUGAGGACCUAAGAUGUGUGUGUCGCGAAAUAUUUAAUUUUGGUGAACUAUAAUAGGGUGAAGCGAACCCAACUUUGGAAGGGUGUUUUGCCACUAUCAUACAAAAUGUCUAAUGACAUACAAACUUGUGUUAUCAUAAGACAGGGUUGUGCACAUCCUCUUGCUGAGUAUAUCUACGAGCACUACCUAUAUGAUCUUAGAGUUUAUUUGAAACAUAAUUUCCACUUGGAGACAGUGGAGAUAGUUAUAUGCCAAGAGAGGACUCACCAUUGGAAAGAAAAUGAUAAUAAUCUUCUCGUGUUUCUUUGGGGUAUAUUGGGUCAACCAAGGAUAAUUCUGUGGACAUAUGAUAUCUACCAUAACCUAGACGCAUGGCCUCCCAUGUACGAAGGUUUCAUUGAGCACUUCCCAAAGAUUUUAAUUCCAAAAAUAGUUUUUGAUUAUACUUUUAUGUAAAGUACCAUUGUAAGGUUGUGGUCGAGGCACCAUGAGGGUUACAUACAUUGUAUUAAAAACUCAUAGUUAGCUAUGGUCGUAUUCUACACGACAGUUCAAUAGUUGUAUAAAUAAGUUUGUAUUUAUAUUUUGUACCAUGUAUUUGGCGACUCAAAAUGGGUGAUGAAUACCUAAUUUUGGGGGCGUCACACCAAGACAUCAAAUAUCUUGUUAAUCUUCUUUAUCCACGUCUCCACCUUAAGUGGUUUUGGCUUUCCAAAAAACUCCGGUGGUCCCAGCUCCUUGAACUGCUUAGCGAUGACCGUCCGAGAGUUAUCAGUAUUUUCACUUGCUUUUUGGACAGGAGCCGCUUUCGCCUGAUGUUGCAUGAAUUGCAUAAAGCCUCUAAACAUCUCAUCGUUCACUAUUUCAUCAGUGUUAUUAUUUAUAUGAGGAUUACUGUCUUCCUGUUGUACAUUAUCCUGGGCACUAAUCUGUGGUGACUCAAUGGUCUCAUGUGCUUCAUUGUUUAUCUCAACAUUUUUGGAUGCCAUUUUCAAAUACUGCCACAAAACAAGGGUUAAUUAACAUAUCACAUAUUAUCCCUAUACUCUGACCGACCAAUUAAAUACCACAUAAACUUAGGUAGGUCAUACUAGCGAAGGAAUUCCCCGUCUCUCCCCUCCUAGUUCUUGUCUCACAUCUCAGCCAGGGAGCAUAUCCCUAAGCUUUGAUACCAACUAUGACUCCCCCAAAAUAGGUAUACAUCACCCAUCUUGAGUAGCCAAAUACAUGGUACAAAAUUCAAAUACAACUUAAUUAUACAACAGUCGUGUAAAAUACGGCAAAACAUAAUCUAAGAGUUUUAAUAAGAAUAUUGUCAUCUAGACAAUAUCCACACUCAAUGGAGUCCUCAUUACAUUUAUUGUCACACUAUUUAACAAAAUAGUGAGGACUACUAAUGCUAUCAUCUGGACCGUCACUCCGUUCCCUGACUAGUUCCAGCUAUAUUCUCACUUCCUGAAGAGAACAGUGAAGGAAAGGGUGAGCUCAACUAGCCCAGUAAGAAAUAUUAUGACUAAGAUAAUGAAGAAUAAAUUAUCAAUAGUCUUCAACAAUGUUAAACUGAUAAAAUACAAUAGACAUCAAGUUUCAUUGCAGUGGAAUAAGCAAUCCAUUAGAAGAGUCAAGUAGAGCAUGAUAUCUACUAUCUUCUAUGAUUUAAAAUGUUUUCAUCAAUUUUUUUUAUCGCUGAGACUCAGCUUAAUAAAUAAACCACAUCAUCGAGUGCCAAGGAUAUUUAUUAAAUCAUUAAUGGUCAUGACUAUACCGAAUAAUCCUUGGUCAUAAUCAUAUCUAAAACUGUCCAUCAAUGCACUACAGGCUACUGAGGACUUUUACCACAUCAUUUAUAACAUUACAGGUUAUGAUUAUACCGAAUAAUCCCUGGUCAUAAUCAUAACAAGUCCAUCUAUGCACGUAAGCCAAAGAUGACUUUCAUCACAAUAUAAGCAUGAGGAUGAUGACAAUGACAUAAUAAUUCAAUAAAACAAGUUCAAGAAAAAUUUUUAAAGAUGUAUAAGUUAAUUAAUCUUGAAAUCAAUUACGUCCAAAUUGUCAACAUGAUACUGCUUUGUGGAGUAAAAUUCAAGAAUGGUCAAAAGAAUAUUUCCAUGAAAAGAUACCGGAUGAACCGCAAAUAUCCAGGAUAUUCUACUAAAUUAAUGGAGUAUAGAAGCCAAAACUUUAACCAAAUGAGUAUCAUAGAAUAUAUGAAACUACAAAUAGAUUUUCACCCGCCAUGCGGUAAUCCACGUAUACAGAUCAUUUCCACAAUUUAAUAAGGAAUGAAUACGAAGGAUCAUUCACCAUGCAUGUAGUAAUCCACAUAGACAUGUUAUUCCAACAGAAUAAUAAAGAAUGGAAUAACAGAAGAAUUCACCAUGCAUGCGAUAGACCGCACAGACAGGUUAUUCCAACAGAAUAAUAAAGAAUGGAACCAGGUCAUGCGUAAUCCGCACAGACAGGAUAUUCCAAUAGAAUAAUAAAGAAUGGAAUAACAGAAGAAUUCACCAUGCAUGCGAUAGACCGUACAGAUAGGUUAUUCCAAUAGAAUAAUAAAGAAUGGAACUAGGUCAUCCGCACAGACAUGAUAUUCCAACAGAAUAAUAAAGAAUGGAAUAACAAAGAAUUCACCAUGCAUGCGAUAGACCGCACAGACAGGUUAUUCCAACAGAAUAAUAAAGAAUGGAACCAGGUCUAGCGUAAUCCGCACAGACAGGAUAUUCCAACAGAAUAAUAAAGAAUGGAAUAACAAAGAAUUCACCAUGCAUGCGAUAGACCGCACAGACAGGUUAUUCCAACAGAAUAAUAAAGAAUGGAACCAGGUCUAGCGUAAUCCGCACAGACAGGAUAUUCCAACAGAAUAAUAAAGAAUGGAAUAACAAAAGAAUUUCACCAUGUAUGCGGUACUUCGCAUAGACAGGUUAUUCCAACAUAAUAAUAAAGAAUGGAAUAACAGAAGAAUUUCACCAUGUAUGCGGUACUUCGCAUAGACAGGUUAUUCCAACAUAAUAAUAAAGAAUGGAAUAACAGAAGCUCUCUUCAUGAAUACGAAAGAAAUAAUACCCCUUACCUUAGAAAGAAACUGGAUACUGGAGUAGAGAGGUAGCAGACUUCUCUUCUUCUUUCUCUCUAUAAUUUCUCUCUAUAAUAAUUGCUCUAUAGCUUUAGUGAAUUGGUGAGAAAUGAAGGAAGAAUGAGCUUCUAUUUAUAGGAAAAUAUAGUUUCGAUAAUUGCACGUUUUGGGGCUCGAAAUAUUACAGUAUAAUACCUUCCUCUUUUUCUUCAUUUUUAAUUUAGUCCUGCAAGUAUUAUCAAACUUGCACCACCUCCCCUAAUAGUAAAUAAUGUGAAUCAAUAGUUCAAUCAUGUGAAUCAAUAGUUAUAAUCAUGUGAAAAUACGAAUUACAGUAUAGUACCUCCAUCUAUACCUCCAUUUUUAACUUAGUCAUGCAAGUAUUAUCAAUCUUGCACCAACUCCCCUAAUAGUACAAGAAUGUGAAUCAAUAGUACACACAUGUGAACAAAUAGUUAUAAUCAUGUGAAUUAAUAGCAAUUAAUUGCUCAUUUAUCCGAUUAAUUACCCGACUGGUCAGUAUAACUUCCAGACAUCAAUUAAUAUCGAAAUAAAUGUCGAUUUCCACUAACACUAAUAAUUCCAACACAAUGGAACUAUCAAUUUCAUCUUUAAUCAACACGAACUUAUUCAUCAUUAAUAUUAUAACUCACAAUAUUUAACAACCAGGUCGUUCCCAGGAAAGAGGGGGCUUUCCGAUAAGGAUUUCUCCUUAUUGGCGCGCAAUUAGAUGACCAAACCUCUCCUUGACAGAACUUCUAGACAUUGUAAAUAUUGCAAUUUAAUAAUAUGAAUAACUUUGUCGUCUCAAUUAUUGAUUUAAUAAUAUAUCAUAUUAUGCAGAUGAUACUGUGACAAUAAUCGAAUCAAUAAUAUGAGAGAUAUGAUUCAACAAUUACUGUAACAAUAAUUGAGUAUAACUGAGUGACUUCUCACGUAAGCAUCAAUAAUUAAUACCGUGUGCUACUAUGCAACCACGCGUAUUACUGUACUUUUACUACCGGGUAGUUCAACAGUUUAAUGGUAAAACUUCCACUGUUAUUUUUAUAAAAAGAUAAUUAUGUCAUUUUUUAACUAUGACAAUACUUCCGUUGUGGGGUCCACCAAUGAUUGUGCUAUCGUACGAAUAUUUCCUGUUAAAACGAAUAUUCCCCGACCAAUCAAAUAUUAUAUAACCACUUGCUUACUUUGUAAAAUUUGUAAAUAUUACCCACAACUAUAACAUUAUAUCAAAUCCACACCAUAAUAUUCAAAAAUAUAUUUCGAGAAAAUUAUUCUUUAUUCAAAAAAGUUAGGGUCUUACACUCCUCCUUGUCUGCUAAGUUUGAAGAAUAGGUUAAGCACAUUGAACAAAUUGGGCACCACACUUGAAUUUGACUUGCAUAACCUUUCCAUAAUCUUUUGCAUGUCCUUUAAACCUCCAAUACCUGAAAUGACAACAUGGAUUAGAAUAGAACUUUGGAUUGGUAAGAGAAUUUAAUAAGAAAAUUAAUUCCUAUCUACUAAAUAAACUAGUAAAGAAUAUAAUUAUAAAAAUUCCUGGGUUGCCUCCCAGUUAGCGCUUGAAUUACAGUCUUUCAGCCUGACUUUUUCUUGUCAAUGCUAUCCAAUUCCUCUUCGAUGAUUGAGAAACCCUCCAUCCACCGGAAAUAAUAUAACUUUUGGUAGGUUCCCAUUUGUGAUGGCUAAUGCAUCAAAGUCACCUAGCAUGCUCUGAUUUGGUAUGAUCUCAAUCAAGAACGCCCCACAUCUAGGUGUUUUCUCCAUUGUGUAUGUGAUCACUUUGGGGCAUGGAAGCUUGUCACACAUAAUGGGCUCUUCGUCUAUCUUCUCUUUCUCGUCCCACCAUGGAUUCAAAAUUAUACUCGCUCUUAUGCCAUAAAGAGCUUCGCUGACGACAUGACUACCAAGUGGGUAUGAUUUUGCAAAUCUGACCAAAUCUUUGAUCUUUGGUGGAGAUCUAUUUAGAACUUUGUCGACCUCUAUUUUAUUAUCCCCAAUUGUCUCUACACUUUCGAUAUCUUGUGGCUCAUCUAGUCACAGAUUUGGUUCAGGUUCUCCGUCAAUUUCUUCAUCCAUGUCAUAAAGCCAAGUGUUUGGAGGAAGGUUGCUUACGGCUUUGGCCAUUUGAUCUAUCUUAUUCUGAAGAUUCUUAAUUGACUUCUCUUGAUUAAUCAUUCUCUCCUCAUUUGAUGCUAUGAACUUGUACAACAAUUCCUCCAAUCUCGAAUUAUCUGUCUCAAUUUUGGAAUCCAUGUAUUGAGGACCAUGAGUUGAAGUGGUGAUGAGUUGUUCCAUCUGGUGCUAAAAAUUGUGGCUCGAUAUUUCUUGACUCAUCAUCCUCUCCUCUUGGCUUGCUAUAACUGUGACGCCCCCAAAAUAGGUCCAAUCUAUCCAACCUAUUAUGAGUCGCCAAAUAGAUGGUGCAGAAAACAACUACAACUUUAUUCCUACAACAACACAUAUGUUGUGAGUUGUGAUACAAAUAUAUAUCAACUGUGAAUCAUGUCCCAAUCAUGGACAGCAUCUCACAGUGAUACCUUACAUAAAGGUACAGUCAAUAACUGUUUUAGAAAUUAAAAUCUUUGGAAAGUUCUCAAGGAAACCUUCGUACAUGGGAGGCCAUACGUCUGGAUUAUAAUAGAUAUCAUAUGCCCAUAAAAUUAUCUUUGGUUGACCCAAUAGACCCCAAAGAAAAAUGAGAAGGUUACUAUCAUGGUCUUUCCAAUGGUGAGUCUUCUCUUGACAUAUAACUAUCUCUACCGUCUGCAAUUGAACAUUAUGUUUCAAAUAAACUCCAAGAUCAUAUAGGUAGUGCUCGUAGAUAUACUCAACAAGUGGAUUUGCACAACCCUGUCUUAUGAUAACUCGUAGGUCAUUAGACAUCUUGUAUGAUAGUGACAAAACACCCUUCCAAAGUUGGGUUCACCUCACCCUAUUCAGUUCACCAAAAUUAAAUAUCAAAUGACGUAUACAAUACGGCACACUUAUCUAAAGUUCUCAAUAAAAUUAUUUUCAUACUAUUUAGGGAGAACCUCAACAGCUAUAGACCACCAUUCUAUUCCCCUGUUACCCCCGCUCGACCCAGCUACACUCUUGUUACCUGAAAGGAAUUGUGAAGCAAAAGGGUGAGUACAACUAGCCCAGUAAAGAAUAUCAUGACUAAAGAUAAUUAAAUUAUGAAUAGCCUUCGUCAGUAAUAAAUCAGAGAUUUAGAACAUAUGGUAGAUGAUAAAACUUUUCAACCAUAGUUGCAGUGGAACGAGCAAUCCAUUAGAAGAGUCAAAUAGAGUAUAAAGUCUAUUAUCUUCUCUACGUUAAUAGUCCAACAAUAAUGUUUUAUCCCUAUAACAUCAAUCAACAGUUCCUUUUCAUAAUCAUAUGAAUAACUCAUAAUCAUAAUUGUGAUUCUAAAUUCCUCUUCGCAUCCAAGACGAAGAUAAUUUUCAUCACCUGUCUUUACCUGAAACAUCAAAGAUCAUGGUUAUACCAAAUCACAGUUCCUGUUCAUAAUCAUACUAAUAAAUUCAUCUUUGCACCACGGGCCAAAGAUAUUCAUCAACAAUUCAUCUUUACACUACAUGCCAAAGAUAUUCAACAACAAGUCAUCUUUUCACUACGAGCCAAAUAUAUUAAUCAAUAAUUAAUCUUUGCACUACAAGCCAAAGAUAUUCAUAUCUCAAAGAAAUACAUAAUCAUUUCUGAAUUUAUAUAAACCAUAAUUAUAAUCAUAUAUGUUGAUCAAUUCACUUUUGCACUUAAGCUAAAGAUAUUCAAUUAUAAAUUCAAUGGUCAUGAUCGUAUCAGUCAACAAUUCAACUUUGCACUACUGGCCAAAGAGAACCCAUAGUCACGAUCAUACCAAUAAUCUACCCAUCUUUACACUCAAGUCAAAGACAAAUAUCAUCAUUAGGGUUAUAAGAAUGUUAUAUAUGAUAAUAAAAAUAAUAUAUUCAACAUAUAGAUUUAAUCUCAAGAGUAAGAUUCAUAAAUCAAUGAUUUUAUAACACCUUAAUCCAAAUGUUAUAAAUCAAUUAAUAAUCUCAUAAUCUAAUAUUAUUAAUAUUACCACAAUAUCUUAAUCAUUUCUUAAACUUAUAAACAAUUUAUUUUAAUUGUUUACACAUUACCAAUUAAUGCAUUUAAUCAUCUUAAAAUGUCCUCAUCAAAAAUCUGCAUAUACCUCAUAUAUGAUUCUCAAGCCAUAAAUCAUAUUUUCUAAUUUUUUUUACUUCACAUAACAUAUUUAAUUCAUUUACUCAUAACUAGAACAUUUUUAUGAAAAAUACCAAAUCAGUUCCAAAGAUAUUUCUUUUCUGGGAUUUAGAAGAAUAUAGUCUCAUAUUGAAUAUAUAUUUUUCUCAGAAUUUUUAAAAUUCAUUUACUAUUUUUCAAAUGGCCAAAACUGUCGAAUAUUUAGACAUUUAUCAUAAAUUGUACUUUUAUCCAAAAAUUAUGAAAUUUAUAGGAUAUACUGAUAUUAUAUAGAUGUACUCCCAAUAAAAAUUUCACCAAUUUUGGAGUUAACCACAAGGAGUUAUAAGGGUUUACUUUUAAAAUAGUAUUUUCUCAUAAAAUCCAUAACUCUUAACCUAUACAUCCAAGAAUCGCCAUUUUUGGACACAAUCUACAAAACUCAUCAAAUUAUCAUUUCAAAUUUUUCUAGAAUUUUUGAAGGUCGAAAAAAGUACGAAACUCGAAAAUAUAAGAACCCUUAAAGUCCCUUACUAUCCUUUACCUCAAAAGAGCAGUACUUCUGACUGGAAUAACGCUGAACGAACUUGCACCGUAUAGCAACACUCAAGAUACAAGAAUACACUUGAUAAUAUAGAGAGAGAAAUAGAGAGAAAACUUCAAUUUCUAGUAUGAUUUUCAAUUCUAACCUAAGCACCUAUUUAUAGGAAAUUGCUUAGAACACCAAAGCAGAAAAUUAAAUAUAAUAAUAUUAUUUAUAAAAAAAAUUCCUAAGCACACCACCAGCUGAUUUCAACCAUUUAAGACAUGCCCCUCAAAUGAAAAAAAAUGUUUUUCUUAAAAAUAAUAAUUAAAACUUCCAAAAAUUAAUUAUUUCGGAACUUCGAAACUUCAAUAAUUCAUAAUAAAUAGCCCUUUUAUCAGAAAAAUUUGAACCACGUGUCUUUUCCAUAAGAAAUUCCAUUCUUUACAACUUUGCAGAAGAAAGUUUUUUCAAAUUCCAAACAGGAAUUGAUCAAAAUCCACAAACGGACGAUUUUACAGGCUAUAAUCAGAUUUCAGUCAAAAUUUGUGUACACCAUCAUGUUUAACAUGUGUUAAACAUUUUUUGUAACACACAAAUCAUGUGUUUAGCAUUUAAUGCAACAAAACUACUCUUCUUCCUUAUUUAUUCAUAUAUUACAUAUUCAUUGUAAAAAUAUCACCAUUAUUAUAUUACUGUAAUAUAAUAAUAUAUUUUAUCAGAAAAGAUAAAAUAUCAAUUUUCAACAAUUGUCACAUUAAAAAUUUUCUCCAUCUAUAACCACAUAAAAUGAAUAUUUUCCUUAUCAUAUAAAUCAAUAAUUAAUUAUUCACAAAUAAUAUUACAGAAUCACAAUANNNNNNNNNNNNNNNNNNNNNNNNNNNNNNNNNNNNNNNNNNNNNNNNNNNNNNNNNNNNNNNNNNNNNNNNNNNNNNNNNNNNNNNNNNNNNNNNNNNNNNNNNNNNNNNNNNNNNNNNNNNNNNNNNNNNNNNNNNNNNNNNNNNNNNNNNNNNNNNNNNNNNNNNNNNNNNNNNNNNNNNNNNNNNNNNNNNNNNNNNNNNNNNNNNNNNNNNNNNNNNNNNNNNNNNNNNNNNNNNNNNNNNNNNNNNNNNNNNNNNNNNNNNNNNNNNNNNNNNNNNNNNNNNNNNNNNNNNNNNNNNNNNNNNNNNNNNNNNNNNNNNNNNNNNNNNNNNNNNNNNNNNNNNNNNNNNNNNNNNNNNNNNNNNNNNNNNNNNNNNNNNNNNNNNNNNNNNNNNNNNNNNNNNNNNNNNNNNNNNNNNNNNNNNNNNNNNNNNNNNNNNNNNNNNNNNNNNNNNNNNNNNNNNNNNNNNNNNNNNNNNNNNNNNNNNNNNNNNNNNNNNNNNNNNNNNNNNNNNNNNNNNNNNNNNNNNNNNNNNNNNNNNNNNNNNNNNNNNNNNNNNNNNNNNNNNNNNNNNNNNNNNNNNNNNNNNNNNNNNNNNNNNNNNNNNNNNNNNNNNNNNNNNNNNNNNNNNNNNNNNNNNNNNNNNNNNNNNNNNNNNNNNNNNNNNNNNNNAUAGUCACGAUCAUACCAAUAAUCUACCCAUCUUUACACUCAAGUCAAAGACAAAUAUCAUCAUUAGGGUUAUAAGAAUGUUAUAUAUGAUAAUAAAAACAAUAUAUUCAACAUAUAGAUUUAAUCUCAAGAGUAAGAUUCAUAAAUCAAUGAUUUCAUAACACCUUAAUUCAAAUGUUAUAAAUCACUUAAUAAUCUCAUAAUCUAAUAUUAUUAAUAUUACUACAAUAUCUUAAUCAUUUCUUAAACUUAUAAAUAAUUUAUUUUAAUUGUUUACACAUUACUAAUUAAUGCAUUUAAUCAUUUUAAAAUGUCAAACUCAUAAGAUUUCAUCACCAAUAACCAAAACCCUCAUCAAAAAUCUGCAUAUACCUCAUAUAUGAUUCUCAAGCCAUAAAUCAUAUUUUCUAAUUUUUUUACUUCACAUAACAUAUUUAAUUCAUUUACUCAUAACUAGAACAUUUUUAUGAAAAAUACCAAAUCAGUUCCAAAAAUAUUUCUUUUCUGGGAUUUAGAAGAAUAUAGUCCCAUAUUGAAUAUAUAUUUUUCUCAAAAUUUUUAAAAUUCAUUUACUAUUUUUUCAAUUGGCCAAAACUGCCGAAUAUUUAGACAUUGAAGUUUUCUCUCUAUUUCUCUCUCUAUAUUAUCAAGUGUAUUCUUGUAUCUUGAGUGUUGCUAUACGGUGCAAGUUUGUUCAGCGUUAUUCCAGUCAGAAGUACUGCUCUUUUGAGGUAAAGGAUAGUAAGGGAUUUUAAGGGUUCUUAUAUUUUUGAGUUUCGUACUUUUUUCGACCUUCAAAAAUUCUGGAAAAAUUUAAAAUGAUAAUUUGAUGAGUUUUGUAGAUUGUGCCCAAAAAUGGCGAUUCUUGGAUGUAUAGGUUAAGAGUUAUGGAUUUUAUGAGAAAAGACUUUGCAGAAGAAAGUUUUUCCAAAUUCCAAACAGAAAUUGACCAAAAUCCACAAACGGACGAUUUUACAGUUUAUAAUCAGAUUUCAGUCAAAAUUUGUGUACACCAUCAUGUUUAACAUGUGUUAAACAUUUUUUGUAACACACAAAACAUGUGUUUAACAUUUAAUGCAACAAAACUACUCUUCCUCCUUAUUUAUUCAUAUAUUACGCAUUCAUUGUAAAAAUAUCACCAUUAUUAUAUUACUGUAAUAUAAUAAUAUAUUUUAUCAAAAAGAAAAAAUAUCAAUUUUUAACAAUUGUCACAUUAAAAAUUUUCUCCAUAUAACCACAUAAAAUGAAUAUUUUCCUUAUCAUAUAAAUCAACAAUUAAUUAUUCACAAAUAAUAUUACAGAAUCACAAUACUGACAACUAGGCAGUUCCCAGGAAAGAGGGGGCUUUCCAAUAAGGAUUUCUCCUUAUUGGCGCGCAAUUAGAUGACCAAACCUCUCCUUGACAGAACUUUCUAGACAUUGCCAAUAAUGCUAUCUAAUAAUAUUAUCCAAAUAAUAUGAUGUAUUGAUCUGGUAAAGGAAAUACUGUGUAAUGAUAAUUAUUGAAACAACAAUAAUAUAAAAUAUCAAUGUAGCAAUUAUUGAAUCAAUAAAAUAAAAUAUUGAACAGUAAUUACUGUAACAAUGAUUGAGUAAUGCCUUCUUACGUAAAAAAAAUUAUCAUGCUUCGUGAAUAGUAACUCGUGAAUAGUAACUCGUGAAUAGUAACUCAUGAAUAGUAACUCAUGAAUAGUAACUCAUUAAUAGUAACUCGUGAAUAGUAACUCAUGAAUAGUAAUUAUAAGAAAAUUGAAUACUUUUAUUUCAUAAAAUUUAUGGUCUUACAAUAACCUUUGACAGUAAUUCCUCCAACUUUGACUUUUCUUCUUUUAAUGAAGGUUGAUAUGAGAAUUCCAGCGUGUAUGUUGGAUUUGGAGUAGAGUAUUGAUCUUGAUAAUUAUAGCUCCAUGAAGAAUCCGGGUGAUAUCCCCAAACUUGAUGAUAACUAUUGGGAUAAGAAUAGUUGUUGAGGUAGUUACCACCAUACUGUACUGUCCCAAGACUGAUGGUGCAUUGAUUACUCGGGUGAUUGCCAGCACAAUAAUUGCAAGUAACUGUCAUCCUUCGAUUACGUUGGGCUGCAACAACGUCCAACCUCCUCGAAAGUGUCUCAAGUUGUGCUGAUAAUGCAGAAAAUACAUUCAGUCCAUCAAUCCCCACUCCCCUUAGUUGAGUCAUACUCGAAUAUGGCCUUUGAUAAUUAAAUCCAGCCAUGGUAUCUGAAACGAGAGAAAAAUAAAAAGCUAAUAAAAUAAAAUAAAAAUAAAUAAUGAAAAAAAAAUGUUUAAAUUAAGACUAAUUUGGUUGAAGCUAAUAUUGACAAAAAUAUAUUACACUAAUUCUCCGACAAUGGCGCCAAAAACUUGUUGGGUAAAAUCUAAUUACGCACAACACGCAAGUAUACGUGGUCAACAAGUAAUAAAGUGAUAAGUUGAGUAUCGUUCCCACAGAGAAUUAUUUAAUAAAAAUCAUCAAGUACUAACCCAUAACCAACUCAAUCUUAUUUAAAUAAAUGAAUUUAAUGUUAUAAAUUAAAUUAUUUAACUAAACUAAUUCUAAUUACCACUAAUUAAAAAUCAAAUUAUGGAGAUUUAAGAUCUCAACUUCACUUAUUGCUUCAUUUAAGUUAACACACUCCUCAUCAAUUAUUUUUUAUCCUGAAUUGUUAAUCAAGAACACUAAAGCAGAUAAAACCACCUCUCGAUGUAUAAUACACAUACUCACUUAAAUCCACAGAUGAUAGAAUUAAGCAAGACACCCUAAUUAACUAAUCCACUAUAUCUCUAUGUGAAUUAUAAUUAAAAAGGAUUUAAAGCACAAGUUCUCUAUAAGAUUACAUAUGGUGUAAAGGCUUAUCUCUAUCCUAAACACGAAUCAUGAAUUUCAUCUAUGCAGAAAUCACAAACACAUGCUAUUAUGAUCGGAUCUAAAUCUAAACUUCAUCUCUCGAGUUCGUAUAAAUUAUCACAAUAAUUGAUGGCGAAUCAAUUAAACAAUUAAGUUCAAAUCACAAUAAACAAUCCCCACAAUAGAACAUAAUAAUUGAUAGCGAAGCAUAUUAAAAUAAAUUACACAAUAAGAUCCAUUGUAAUCUCAGACAAAGAAUUAGUUCAUUGAAUUAAAACUAAGAAUCCACAAUUGAAUAAACAAUAAAAGACAAAGAUAGAAGAAGAUGAGAAGAUAGAAUCUAUUGUCUGUAGAUUUGAUGAUCUCUCCUUGCUCCUACUUUGAAUCUUCAAUGGUCUCCAAGUCGCUUCAAUCUCCCAAUCUCAUAAGAACUAGUGUUUUCUCCUAUUCUACUCUAAUUUAAUCUAAUGGAAUCCUCUCUCCCUCUUUAAAUCUUGUGAUUCUCCUCCUUUAAUAAGUCUCUUUAUAUAUCUUUAAGUCCUCUUGGAAGUCCUUGAGUCAAUCGGAUCGAACCAAUCCUUCUUGGACUCAAAUUUGGACAAAAUUCACUUUUUCUACGCGUACCCCCGCCGGCCCCGACGGGGGUUUAGCCUUAUAAAGGGCCCGCCCUGAUGGGCUAUGGUUCUGUUUUUCCAGUUGGUACCCCCGCCCCAGCGGGGGUUUUCCUUAGUAAAAUCCCGCCUCGACGGGCAUCAUUUUUCUACUGAAGUGUCCUCUGGUAAAAUGGUCAUAACAUUUAAUCCGGAAGGAGUUACGAGGCGUGCCACCUAUCAAAUCGAAGAUAUCGACGAUCUCUAAAACUUUCAUUCUUUGAGAAUUGAUAGAUUUGGAUUAGAUCAAGUUGGAAAUCGGGCUUUACGUAGAUGCUAUGUAAAUGGUAAGCAUGACAACUCCUAGCUUUGAUCUUUGUUGAUGAGAAGGCCAUAACUCUCGCAUCCGAACUCCAAUUGGGAUGAUUCAAGAUGUUCCGAAAAGCUAAGAAGUAGAUAUACAAUAAAAUCAAAGUUCCAAGCCAAGAAAAUGCAUCCAACUUGGUGUUAAAAGAUGUGCAAUCUUCCCUUCUUGCAUUUGCUUGCGUAUUUUAGUCCAAAAGAUGUCCGAAUUACUUUUCCUUGCUUCUUCAUGCCAAUGUUAUGUCAUAGCCUACAAAAUAACAUAAAAUGCAUGAAAAGUGUGACGCCCCCAAAAUAGGAAUACAUCACCUAUUCUGAGUCACCAAAUACAUGGUACAAAUACAAAUAAAAACAUGAUUAUACAACUGUCGUGUAAAAAUACGACAAAACAUAACUGAGAUUUUAAACAGGGAUAUUGCCUUCUAGACAAUAUCCAUUCUCAAAUAGAGUCCUCGUUACAUUUAUUGUCACACUAUUUAAUAGAAUAGUGAGGACUACUAUCUAAUACUAUCAUCCGGACCAUCACUCCAUUCCCCGACUCGUCCCAGCUACGUUCUCAUUUCCUGAAGAGAACAGUGAAAGAAAGGGUGAGCUCAACUAGCCAAGCAAGAAAUAUUAUGACUAAGAUAAUGCAAAAUAAAUUAUCAUUAGCCUUCAACAAUGUUAAACUGAUAAAAUACAAUAGACAUAAAGUUUAACUGCAGCGGAUCAAGCAAUCCAUUAAAAGAGUCAAGUAGAGAAUAAAAUCUACUAUCUUUUAUGAUUUGAAAAGUUUUUCAUCACUUUUAUCGCUGAGACUCAGCUUAAUACAUAAUCCACAUCAUCCCUGCACUACGGCCAAGGAUAUUCAUUAGGGUCACGACCACAAAUUCCAUGCACUACGGGCCAAGGAUAUUUAUGUAUUCAUCCAUGGUCAUGAUCAUGCCAACAACUGUCCAUCAAUGCACUACGGGCCAAUGAGGACUUUUACCACAUCAUUUAUAACAUUACGGUCAUGAUUGCACCGAAUAAUCCCUGGUCAUAAUCAUACCAAGUCCAUCCAUGCUCUACAGGCCACAGAUGACUUUCAAAAAAUAUAAACACGAGGAUGAUGACAAUGAUAUAAGAAUUCAAUAAAACAAGUUCAAGAAUUAAGUUAUUCAGCAACUAAUAACGUCCAAAUUGUCAACAUGAUAUUGCUUUGUAGAGUAAAAUUCAAGAAAGCUCAGAAGAAUAUUUCCAUGAAAAAUACUGGAUGAAACGCAAAUAUCAAGGAUAUUCCACUAAUUUCAUGGAGUAUAGAAGUUAAAAUUUUAAUCGACUGAGUAUAAUACCGAAUGAAAUAACAAAAGAUAUCACCAUGCAUGUGGUACUUCGUAUAGACAGGUUAUUCUAACAGAAUAAUAAUAACGAAACCAGGUCAGGUGAAAUUCACACCGAUAGGAUGUUCCAACAAAAUAAUAAGGAAUGGAAUAACAACAGAAAUCACCAUGCAUGCGGUGCUUCGCAUAGACAGGUUAUUCCAACAGAAUCAUAAAUACAGAAUAAUAAAGAUGGAACCAGGUCCGGUGGAAAACACACAGACAGGAUAUUCCAACAGAAUAAUAAAGACAGAAUAAUAAAGACGGAACCAUGUCUGGUGUAAAACACACAGACAUGAUAUUCCAACAUAAACAAAGAUACGAAAUAAUAAAUGAUGAAACCAGGUCCGGCGUAUAGCACAGGCAGGAUAUUCCGACAGAAUAAUAAAGAAGGAAUAAUAACAGAUGGAACCAGGUCCGGCGUAUAGCACAGACAGGAUGUUCCAACGGAAUAAUAAAGACAAAAUAAUACAAGAAUGUCACCAAGUAUAGGGUAUUCCGCGUAUACAGGUUAUUCCAACAGAAUAAUAAGAAAUGGAAUAACAACAGUUCUCUUCAUCAAUAUAAAAGAAUAAUAUCCCUUACCGUAAAAGAAACUGAAUAUAGGAAAAGAAAGGUAGCAGACUUCUCUUUUUCUUUCUCUCUAAAAUUUUCUCUCUCUGGAGUUCAGUGAAUUCGUAAGAAAAUAAUGAAGGAAUGAGCUUCUAUUUAUAGAAAAAUGGAAUGCAUAGUAACUAACUCAUGAACGGUUCAGAUCGAUUUACUUUAAUCUGACGGUCCAUAUUUAAAGAAAAAUCUUUUAAAUAAAAUAUAAUAUAUUCUAUUUAUAUAAAAAGAUUUUUACUAUGCAAACACUAUGCAAAACACUAUGCAACACUAUGCAAAACUAUGCAUAAUAAAAUAUAAUAUAUUUCAUUUAUAGAAUAACUUUAAUAAAGUAUUCUGUUUUAUAUAAAAAGAUGUUUCUGUUUUAUUACGUUAAUAAUACGAAUAAAACAAAACUUCAUUAUCACUAUAAUAAUUCAUAUUAUUAAUUGACAAUAAUUGAAUCAAACUGAGUGACUUCUCACAUAAAUAUCAAUAAUCAAUACUGUGUGCUACUAUGCAACAACGCGUAUUACUGUACUUUUACUACCGAGUAGUUCAACAGUAUCAACGGUAAAACUUCCGCCGUUAUUUCCCAUAAAAUAUUUUUUUAUUUUCUCAAUCUGACAAUAAUUCUGUUGUGGGGUCCACUAAUGAUUGUACCGUCGUACAAAUAUUUCCCGACAAAAAGAAUAUUCCCCGACCAAUCGAAUAUAAUAUGCCAACUUGCAUACUUUGCAAAAUUUAUAAAUACUACCCACAACUAUAACAUUAUAUCAAAUCCACACCAUAAUAUUAAAAAAUAUUUCGAGAAAUUUAAAUCUUUAUCCAUAAAAUCUGGGAUUUUACAAUCUCCCCUCCUUAUGAAAUUUCGCCCUCGAAAUUUACGUACGUACCUGGUAUGCCGAACAGGUGAGGAUACCUUGACUUAAUUUCAAAUUCUAACUCUUGAGGUAUAACCUUUGAGUGUUGAAUACGAUUCUUCUUAUCCAAGAUUUUAACACAUAUCUCCUCAAACGUUAAAUCAUCCGCUAUCUCGUCCGGUUCUAAAUUAAUAAUGUGGUUCGGGUCGUCCACAUAUUUACGUAACAUUGAUACGUUAAAAACGUUAUGAACAUGCAACAUAUUUGGCGGUAAAACGAGUCUAUAAGCCACAGUUCCUACUCGAUCGAGGAUUUCAAAUGGGCCAAUUAAAUCGAGGGUUGAGAUUUCAGCAACUCUUGCUAUUUAAAAAAACGCCCUCUUGAACCUUCUUCUUCGUGUUCAUCAGCUUCGGGUGUGUAGCUUGAGCGGCUUUAACUUUAUCGAUUAAAGUCGAUUCUACUCGUAUAUUCGUUAUCUUCACGUGGGUUUGUAUAUUCACACUUGUAAAUGCAUACGAUAUUCUACUCAACACGUCAGCUACCACGUUCAUUUUCCCACGAUGGUAUUGAAUGGUACGAUCGUAACCUUCAACAGCUCGAGUCAACGUCUUUGGCGCAUAAUACAUUCAUUUUAAGUAAAGAAAUAUUUGAGGGUUUAAGAAAUGGGUUUUGUACUGGGGUCAGUACAAAAUUCGAUUUCACGCUCUUGGGUAGGCCAAGAAAUCUUCAAGAAUACAUCAAGAAAUUUAUUAACAAUAGAAUUAUCAUUCAAAAUUGUGACCCUCAUCCAAGACUUGGAUAGUACGUCACAUUAAUAUACCAACUGUGACUUCUAUCCCUUAACUUGGAUAGCACCUCACAAUAAUACCUAUCAACUUGUCAUCGUCAUUCACAACGUCGCCUACAGAAAGUCUGGCUUCGGUGCAUUCCACACGAGGAAGUCAACAAUGAAAGGAUUGGGCUCUUUACUUAUGGCUUGAUAUGACAAUGAUUGACUUUAGUGGUUCGGUUACUUUGAAUUCGCAUAAAAGGUUGGUUAAGAGUAAGAAAGCUAACAACCUUACGAAAAAAAAUGAUGAGUAGUUAACCAAUCGUUUCCAAAAAUUACAUCAAAGGCAGAUAUUUUCAAAGAGAUAAGAUCGACAGGUAAGGUGAGGGUAUCGUUAUGAAUCAAACAAAAUUUAUAAACAAUUGAGGUAACGAAGGUUUCUCCUAACAGAUUUUCAAUAGAUAAAUCAAAGUUUAACUUCUCUAGAGUUAAGUACAAACAUUGAACACUACUAGGUGAAAUAAAAGAGUGAGUAGAACCGGUAUCUAACACGGUAUAAACUUCGCAAGAAUUUAUGAUUAACUUACCCGUGAUAAUUUUAUUCAGGUUCCUCGUCACGACAAAAAAAAUGCUCUCUUAAACUACCGGCUUUGGCUUGUCUGGGACAUCCUUUGACAUCACUAUCCCAGUUGGACUUGACUUCACCAUAUGACAAAAUCGAGCUAGGUGACCUUCUCUUCCGCAAUUAAAACACGCUUUGGAUUGCUGCGUACAAUUUGGGCGGAUGUAUCCCUCUUGUCCGCAUUUGAAACAUACGACCGAUGGGCGUUCUUCUUCCUUUGAAACGGGUGCUGGUGUCGACGUCUUCACGUCAUUGUUGAACCUUCUCUUCUUAAAAUGUCCAUUCUUAUUAUCUUGGCCAUGAUUACCACCGAAAUGGUUACCAUUCUUGGUAUGAUAAUAUCCCCCAUGAUGGUUAUCGUUGUUCCGGUGACCGUUGCCACCGGUAUGAUUAUUAUCGUGUUGUUGGUCGUUGCCUUUUGGUUGUGCUGACUCAUUAUCAUGCUCCAAUAACUGAACCCUAUUCACAACAUCUGAAUAAAAACAAAGUUUGUGAGAAAUGAGGUAUUGACGUAUAUUGGGUUUCAAACCUCGCAGAAACAUUCGCGUCAUUCUCUCCUCAUUAUCGACCAAAUGGGAUGCAAAACCGGGAUAACUCCGCAAACUUAGCCUCGUAUUACGACACGGUCAUAUUAUUUUGCUCCAACUUGAUAAAUUCCACCUCCUUCAUGUGAUGAAUGCUUUCGGGAAAGUACUUGUCAUUGAACAGCUCUUGGAACUUCUCCCAAGACAUUUUGAGUGCGUCAGGCUGGGUACGUUUUACAGAUUCCCACCAGUAAUCCGCCUCUCCUCGCAACAUGAAGGUGGAAAAGGGAACCUUUUGUUCCUCGGAGCAUCCCAAGACAUCAAAUAUCUUGGUGAUUUGCUUUAACCACGUCUCCGCCUUAAGUGGUUCUGGCUCUCCCAAAAACUCCGGUGGUCCCAACUCCUUGAACUACUUAGCGGUGACCAACCGUGGGUUGCCAUUGUUUCCACCUGUAUUAUGGACAGGAGCUGCCUUCGCUCGUUGUUGCAUGAAUUGCUCCUUAAACUGCUUAGUGGUGACCGUCCGAGAGUUAUCAGUGUUUCUACCUACAUUUUGGGCAGGAGUCUCUCUCAUUUGGUGUUGCAUGAAUUCUAAAAAGCUCCUAAACAUACCGUCGUUCGUCAAUUGAUUAGUGUUGUUGUUUAUAGGAGGAUUAUCGCCAUCCUGUUGCACAUUGUCCUGAUUAUUGAUCUGUAGAGACUCAACGGUCUCCUGUGCUCCAUUGCUGUUCUAAACAUUCUUAGAUGCCAUUUUCAAACACUGCCACAAAACAAGGGUUAAUUAACAAAUCACAUAUUAUCCCUAUACUCUGACCGACCAAUUAAAUAUCAAAUAAACUUAGGUAGGUUAUACUAGCGAAGGAAUUCCCCGUCUCUCCCCUCCUAGUUCUUGUCUCACACCUUAGCCAGGGAUCAUAUCCCUAAGCUUUGAUACCAACUGUGACGCCCCCAAAAUAGGNNNNNNNNNNNNNNNNNNNNNNNNNNNNNNNNNNNNNNNNNNNNNNNNNNNNNNNNNNNNNNNNNNNNNNNNNNNNNNNNNNNNNNNNNNNNNNNNNNNNNNNNNNNNNNNNNNNNNNNNNNNNNNNNNNNNNNNNNNNNNNNNNNNNNNNNNNNNNNNNNNNNNNNNNNNNNNNNNNNNNNNNNNNNNNNNNNNNNNNNNNNNNNNNNNNNNNNNNNNNNNNNNNNNNNNNNNNNNNNNNNNNNNNNNNNNNNNNNNNNNNNNNNNNNNNNNNNNNNNNNNNNNNNNNNNNNNNNNNNNNNNNNNNNNNNNNNNNNNNNNNNNNNNNNNNNNNNNNNNNNNNNNNNNNNNNNNNNNNNNNNNNNNNNNNNNNNNNNNNNNNNNNNNNNNNNNNNNNNNNNNNNNNNNNNNNNNNNNNNNNNNNNNNNNNNNNNNNNNNNNNNNNNNNNNNNNNNNNNNNNNNNNNNNNNNNNNNNNNNNNNNNNNNNNNNNNNNNNNNNNNNNNNNNNNNNNNNNNNNNNNNNNNNNNNNNNNNNNNNNNNNNNNNNNNNNNNNNNNNNNNNNNNNNNNNNNNNNNNNNNNNNNNNNNNNNNNNNNNNNNNNNNNNNNNNNNNNNNNNNNNNNNNNNNNNNNNNNNNNNNNNNNNNNNNNNNNNNNNNNNNNNNNNNNNNNNNNNNNNNNNNNNNNNNNNNNNNNNNNNNNNNNNNNNNNNNNNNNNNNNNNNNNNNNNNNNNNNNNNNNNNNNNNNNNNNNNNNNNNNNNNNNNNNNNNNNNNNNNNNNNNNNNNNNNNNNNNNNNNNNNNNNNNNNNNNNNNNNAACAGAAUAAUAAUAACGGAACCAGGUCAGGUGAAAUUCACACCGACAGGAUGUUCCAACAGAAUAAUAAGGAAUGGAAUAACAACAGAAAUCACCAUGCAUGCGGUGCUUCGCAUAAAUAGGUUAUUCCAACAGAAUCAUAAAUACAAAAUAAUAAAGACGGAACCAGGUCCGGUGUAAAACACACAGACAUGAUAUUCCAACAAAAUAAUAAAGAAAUAAUAAUAAAGACGGAACCAGGUCUGGUGUAAAACACACAGACAGGAUAUUCCAACAGAAACAUAAAUACGAAAUAAUAAAUGAUGGAACCAGGUCCGGCGUACAGCACAGACAGGAUAUUCCGAAAGAAUAAUAAAGACGGAAUAAUAACAGAUGGAACCAGGUACGGCGUAUAGCACAGACAGGAUGUUCCAACGAAAUAAUAAAGAUAGAAUAAUAGAAGAAUGUCACCAAGUAUAGGGUAUUCUGCUUAUACAGGUUAUUCCAACAGAAUAAUAAGAAAUGGAAUAACAACUGUUCUUUUCAUCAAUAUAAAAGAAUAAUAUCCCUUACCGUAAAAGAAACUGAAUAUAGGAAAAGAAAGGUAGCAGACUUCUCUUUUUCUUUCUCUCUAAAAUUUUCUCUCUCUGGAGUUCAAUGAAUUCGUAAGAAAAUAAUGAAGGAAUGAGCUUCUAUUUAUAGAAAAAUAGAAUGCAUAGUAACUAACUCAUGAACGGUCCAGAUCGAUUUAUUUUAAUCUGAUGCUCCAUAUUUAAAGAAAAAUCUUUUAAAUAAAAUAUAAUAUAUUCUACUUAUAUAAAAAGAUUUUUACUAUGCAAACACUAUGCAAAACACUAUGCAACACUAUGCAAAACUAUGCAUAAUAAAAUAUAAUAUAUUUCAUUUAUAGAAUAACUUUAAUAAAGUAUUCUGUUUUAUAUAAAAAGAUGUUUAUGUUUUAUUACGUUAAUAAUACGAAUAAAACAAAACUUCAUUAUCGCUACAAUAAUUCAUAUUAUUAAUUGACAAUAAUUGAAUCAAACUGAGUGACUUCUCACAUAAAUAUCAAUAAUCAAUAUUGUGUGCUACUAUGCAACAACGCGUAUUACUGUACUUUUACUACCGAGUAGUUCAACAGUAUCAACGGUAAAACUUCCGCCGUUAUUUUCCAUAAAAUAUUUUUGUCGUUUUCUCAAUCAGACAAUAAUUCCGUUGUGGGAUCCACCAAUGAUUGUACCGUCGUACGGAUAUUUUUCGACAAAAAGAAUAUUCCCCGACUAAUCUAAUAUAAUAUGACAACUUGCAUACUUUGCAAAAUUUAUAAAUACUACCCACAACUAUAACAUUAUAUUAAAUCCACACCAUAAUAUUAAAAAAUAUUUUGAGAAAUUUAAAUCUUUAUCCAUAAAAUCUGGAAUUUUACAAAAAGUAACUAAGAAACAUAGGUUUAAGCAACUAAUUCAAGUAAUAGAUACCGGAUAAGUAGGUAUAAAACCUACUUAUUAGGUAGUAGUAUUAAAUGACUUUCUUAAUCCAUGUACAAAAAUAUUAAACGACAAUCUUUUAGUAACGGAGGUAGUACAUCACUCAACGAGCGAUCAGUGAUUAAUUUGAAGGAUUUGGAUCAGGUGGGCUAGUGUCUAAUAUCAACUUAAAAUGCUAGCCUUUCUCAUUAUUAAUAUAAAUUGGAGUGUGGCAACUCAACCACUUUCAUUAUUUUUAUAUUUAUUAUUUUGAUAAGUCAAUGAAUUUUAUCAUCAUAGAAAAUAUGGCACAAAUAUUUAGGAUCCGGAUUCUCUAUGGGGAUUUCUCUGUGAGGAUCUUGUGACGGUUUUGCUGUGGGGUUGACAACAUAGCAAAAAAGAGAUCCAACGGCUCACAAUUCUUUUCCUUGUCUGUGUAUCAAAACAACGUCGUUUUGAUAAGAAUUUUUUUUUUACAAAUUGACAAAAAAUUAAAAUCCACCAAACGUCGUUUACUUCGUUUGUUUGCUUCAUUUUUUUGUCUUCUUCUCCUUUCCUUCUUUACUUCUUUUCUUGUUCUUCCCAGAGCACGCCAAGGUUUAGGAUGAGCCAAAUUUCAAUUGGUUUUUUCCCUUUAUUCAAAUUUUCCCCAGAUUAUUUACCCCAAAUUUUUUUUCUUUAAUUUUUUUCAAUUGGUUUAAAGAAUCACAAGCGAAACUCAAUUUUUUUAAUAGAAUAAAAAUUGUCCGUUGGAUUUAUUUUUUUGAAGAGCAAAGAAUAAUAUUAUUAGCCUUUGACAAAGAUACAAAUAUUAAUAACCCUGUCGAUUCUAAAGCACAAAAAAAAUGAUUAAUAAAACGUCCCAACUAGAUUAACACCCAACCCAUUACAAUCAUGAAAAAAAUCGUGCCGCUCAUAACUAACAAGAAUUAGCAAACAAACGAAGUCAACUUGUAAAAAAAAUAUAUGUCAAAACGAUGUCGUUUUGAUACACAGACAAGCAAAGGAGUUGUGAGCCAUUAGCUUUUUUUAAUGUGUUAUCAACCCCAAAUUAAAAUCCUCACAAGAUCCUCACAUAGAAAUCCUCAUAAAGAAUCUGAAUCCAAAUAUUUAAGUACAUAAAUAACAAGAUUUGUCUAAAGCUAUAUUAUAUGUAAGGUUUUCAAAUAUUAUUGGCAAAAGAUUUCACGAAUUCAACUUUCAAAGUUCAACUUAUUCAGUUUUCAAUGAGUUAAUCAUCUUGACGACCCCUAAUCCACUUUAAGUUUUCUAAGUGAAGAUUUUAUGAGUGUCAACUCCUAACUAUUUCUAGUUGAUCCCACUUACAACAAAUAAGAAUAAAGUGAAAAUAAUUAAUAAACAGAAAUAUCGUUUAUAUAUUAUAUCUUUUAAUUAACAUUUAUAGCAACAACAAAUAGGACCACAAAGGCUGAUUUCUAGCAACAACAAAUAGGACCACAAAUACGAUGUUCCAACUAAUCUGGGAACCAUUUACCCAUCAUUUUACUUCAAAAUUUCAUCCAUGUUGAAAAUCAGCAGCACAAAUCCAAUGUGGGACAAGUGGGCCGUACAAAUUGUAUAAAUAAUUAUAUAAAGUCAACAUCAAAAGGGCUGAUUAUAUAAAGCUAAAAAUAAUGUUACUAUCACAAAAAAAGACAUAAUUUUCACAUACACACAUAUGCAUAUUUGUAGGCCUCACAUGUCAAGCGGGGGCUCACAGUAUACAUGUGUGUGUAUGCAUGUAUUAUGUGACAUUUUUUUAUGUGAUAGUAGCAUUGUUGUAAAACUAAUUAAGGAUACAUCGUUGACAGACCCACGUGAAGCAUGAUAAAUUUUGCAAAACCUAACUGGUAUCAGCCCAAUUCCUGACGCAAUCACGCCGCGUGACCAAUACGCAAGCCUGAACCAUGAUUGCUCCAGAUUCCAGCAUCAGACAUACAAAGUCAGAAGCCGCAACAAAAAUUGCACAAAAUUGUUACUAUAUCUAUGGUUCUCUCACUACUUUCAAUAUUACCGCAAGUAUUAUAUAUAACUUUAGUUCUCUCACUACUUUCUAUCCAAUAAGUAACACAAUUAUUUCAAUUCAAAGAAAAUAUUAACAUUUAAAGUUAUUUUUAACUAAAAAAUAUUGUAUUAAUUGUUUUUUAAUACACGUGUUCACUUCUAAAAAGACAAAUACUAAGAGAUGGUGAGAGCACUACCAUACCCAUACACAUACCAAAACCCUAAACACUACUAAUUGUUGGAAUAUAGAGCAUAAUUAACAAGACGAACAGAACAGUAAAUUGGAACAACUUAUUUGGAAGCCGAGACGUAGCAAAGCUACUGUCCUAAAAAGUGAUUUCGCCCUCACUGGUUAUAAACCUUCGGUACAGAUGAACUCCACGACUUUCACCCUCCAGGAUUCAACGGCAAAGCCUUCAAUUGCGUGUACUCGCAGAAAAAGACUGUGGACUUAUCUUUGUGGAUUGCCCAGAAUAUAUAUUAAGAGAGUAUAUAGAGAUGAUAUAUUGUAUUGUAUUUUCUCUGAAGAACAAAAUUGGUAUUUAUAUAAGGGAAGAAUGAUCGGAACGUUGGAAAAAAUGAUUAACGGUAAAGAGAACGUUGGAAAAAGUAACGUUAAUGGAACGUUGGAAAUAAAAGUUAGGGUGCACCCGCGAGGUUAACCAUGAUUGUAUCAUUUUAGAGUUAAGCACAAGUAUUAAAGAAAUGAUUGUAUAACAUUAAAUAUAAUAUCAAUUAUCUAUAUUGCCCUUGUAUUAAAAAAAGAGUGUUAUUUAUUGGGCAAAAAAUAGUGAGAGAACCAAAGUUAUAUUUAUUACUUGGGGUAAUAUUAGAAAGUAAGCAAUUAAUGCUUACUUGAAAUUCUCAAACGACUUGUAUUAAGGAAUAAAAACAAUUCUCUAAAUGGGGGGGGGGGAGGUGUAUUCAAUUAAGAUUUUAAAGACUUUUUUAAAAUGACUUUUAUAGACUCCAUGAAAUAAGUAAUAGACUUUUAUAAACUUUUUAUCAAGACUGUGAUAGACUUUUGUAUACUUCUAAUAUAUAAAAUUGAAAGAUUAUUAGAUUUAAGAUUAAAAUUUUGCUACACAGUUAAAUAAUUUAUUAUAUUUUUUAGUGCAUAUAUUAUAAAUAAUAAUCCACUGCUUAUGAUAAUAACUUUCAGAAAAUAUAUUAUACAAAAAUUUCAAGUUCUGACAAUAUUAUUUUAUCUAAGCAUUAGAAUACAUAUAUAUUAUAAUAUAUUUAUUACAUGGCUUCUGAUCAUUCAAUUAUUGGCUCCAUGAUUUCAUUUUUUUUCCUUCGCAGAAAAUGAAAUCCACACUUAUGUGAGCGUGUGAUUCAAUACCAUAUUGAUUGUUUUACUACUAUAUAUAUAUAUAUAUAUACGGUCCGAAUCAAGUGUAUACCCCUUAUCUUACUCACCCGUGCUCACCCCCCUUUAGCGACGGACCCGACGACGGUUUGGUCAUACAACAAUCGUCUAUACUUUUAGCGACGCUAUAUGUUGUACGUCGCUAAAAGUAUAGACGACGGUUGUAUGACCGAAACCGUGGUCGGGUCCGUCGCUAAAGGGGGGUGAGCACCGGUGAGUAAGAUAAGGGGUAUGCACUUGAUCCUUGCUCUCUCUCUCUCUCUCUCUAUAUAUAUAUAUAUAUGGAGAAUGAUCCAUAGCAUCUAUUUGUUAUGGAUCAAAAAGUGGCAUAUAACAUCUAUAUCGUCUGUGUAAUUAAUGAAUGGUUGAGAUCUGAUUGAAAGAAAGUCGUCCGCUAGAAUUACUAGCAGAUGCAUUAAGUAUAAUUUAUGGACACUGAUGCCCCCACUUUUCCCAUGUGCUACUUUCCCCACUUAGCAUGUGCAGGAGCAGUUUGAAAUAACAUCAUCUGCUAGUAUGUCUAGUGGACCGACUUGAAAUAAAAAGUAUCACAUAUGCCAUCCUGCUGUAGAAUUAACACAGUCCUUUGACACGAGUACAACCCCAAUACAUAACAAAGUUAUGUACAACAUAUCACAUGACACAACAUUAAACAGCCCCAACACGUAACAACAUAACAUGUAAAACAGUUAUUAUUACACAACAUCAUACACAGAAUAUCACACACGAAUUCAUCGCACUCCUCAGGUAUGCACUUUGGGUUGGAAGCUUCCCUUUUUCAUCCUUUACAUUAACCAUCCUUUCAACAUUAUUUGAUACAGAUUGAAUACACAAAUUUUCAGUGAAACAUUGUCUAGAGGGACCAAAAGUAAUGGACGCCACACCAAAGACCUGAACCCAAAGAUAAUUUUUAUUCACUUCCAAAGACUUGAACACAAAUUCAAUUUCAAAUUUUGAAUAAUCAGUAUGCAAAGUUCAUCCGAUAUCUGAAACAUGAUCAGUAGCUUCCUGCAACAACACGCAACAUGUACAACCCCAUUAUAGCAACAAUUAAUAUUCAACAGGUUCCUGUAAAUCAACAUGUUCCUAUACAUCAACAGUUAAGGAACAUAAAACAAAAAUCCAUGGUGCAUUGGAAAUAAUUGAACACUUUUGUAAUUUUCUCAGUCUAUAACCUUUGGUAAAUGUAAAAACAAAAUGGCAUCAUUCUGCAAACACCACGUUACAUACAAGUAAAGUAUGCAGUCCCAUCACCACAAAAACCUAGUGAUUACUUUAGACAAAAACCAGAUAGCAACAUACCCUAUUCUAAUGAGAAAGCAUUUUGCACCAUUGAUAUCCAAUAUCUGAAAUUCCACAAAGUAUAGCUUGCUCAAAUCCUCCUUUGUAAGGUGCUGAAAAACUGGAGCUACCAAAGGACUCUGCACCAGAGGUGUGAAGAAAAUUAUAUAUAAAUAUCAGUUAUAUGAUAGAUACAUCAUGAUAUGAGAUACAUCAAAUAGGCUACCAUUCUCCCUACAGUUUACAGUAGAGUCCAUGAUUAAGUCCUUGUACUGAAUAGGCAUACUCCAACCAGCAAAUGGCACCAUCUUCCCACCAUUGGCAACAUGGAAAUCAUAUAGAACUGUCUUCUUGAGAUCAGCUUCACUAGUAUAGCAUCUAUGAGCCACAUCCUUCUUAUCAGCUUGAGAUCAGCUUCACUGGCAUAAUGUUAAUCAAAUAUAGAUGUGAAAAUUAUGGUGGGUUUAUUUUACUCUUUGUUAAAAUGACAAUAUAUUUCAGUGAAUUUAAAUCUAAGUGAGUUACACAGAUCUCAAGUAUAUUUAGUCACCUCCUAUAAAGAUCUCUUAAACAGAGUAAACAAUAGAAAAAAAGAAUUUCAGAAGAAAUUACUAAUGAAAAAGCUUCAGAAUAGUUGGUCAGAAGAUAUAAACAUCUCGCCUCAUUUCACCUCCCAAGUCAACAAAUUCAAGUACCCACUUUUGAUGCCUAACAAGAUGCACCAAAAGAGAUAUAAACAUACUAAAUGAAAUGCGAACAAUUCAUAAUAAGGCAUUCUAUUCUUUGAAUUGAGGACAUUAUUAUUACAGCACGACACGGACCUAAGACGCUCAGCAGUAACCGUGAAGGGAGAAAAAGAAGCAAUUGGAAUAUAACAAUUAAAAAA